rnacentral:lncRNA from 1 species
CAGGAGUAUUCUGCUUCCAUUAUUACAGUCUGGGAAACAUUGUUUUAUAUCAUCCCAAGCUUCUGUAGUCCAUAUGUCAUCAAUGACUACCAAGUAUCUCCUGCCUUUCAGAUUCUUUUGCAGUCGGUCCGCUAGCUGAUCAUCAGGUUCAUUACUUAUCGAAGAAAGAAGGCCUAGGAUUACAUUUCUCACACAAUACUCUUGUGAAACAGUUGCUUUUGCACGAAUAUCAAAUCGAGACAUAAUGUAAGGAUCACUAUAGAGUUUUGUAGCCAAAGUUGUUUUCCCGAUACCUCCCAUCCCUACGAUUGAGACAACUUCUAGUUCCCUUCCUCCUCUAGCAAGUUGAUCCAGCAUCAUCUCAAAUUCAUUUUCACGGCCAACCAUUAUAUUCUCGGGCUGCUCAACAUCAUGUUCAGGUAAACUGACAAGUGAGCUAGUUUGUGGUUUUAGAUCUUUCAUGCUGUCCGAUGCUGCCAUCCACUGUUUCACGGUGGAAUCAAUGCAUUCUAGUGCUUGUUCCAAGACGAAAAAAAUCUCCCACAUAGCCCUGCUUCUUUCCUCCAAAUUCUGUGCUAAAAAAACAUUUCUUGAUUCCGAGUCAACCAUAUCUUCUGUUGUGUAUGCUACCUCUACGAUUUCAACUUCCAAGAUUGUUAACUCCUCAUGAUCGCCCGUUAUAUUGCAGGAAUUCUCCAGAAUAGUUCUUAAAGAUUCGAGCUUUUCAUAAAACGGUUGCAAAUCACAUCCAGUAAGUUCCAUUGAUUGAUGUAUGGUUCUCAUAAGGGAAGUAACAGCAGCAUAAGCCAUAUAUCCAAAAAAUAGAAAUAUCUCUCAGUAUGAAAAUGGACAAAUUGCCACAAGUCAUGUAAUUUUUCAGUUUUUAAGAAAACAGAAAAUGCAAACUUCUUUCUUUUACUAGGCUAUUUCCAUCACAUUUCCAGCUAGGUCCACCAACCUUAUCAUCAUGUAGACAAAAGCAGAGACCAAAGUUUAAAAAAAGAAAAAGAAAAAAAGACAGGAUUCUAACUGGAAAAAGUUGAAAAAAUUGUGACCAUUCAUUAUUAUACCUUACACUUAUCUAUUCAUGAAUAUAAGUAGGGAAAAGGGCCUCAUUUACCCUGAACUUUAUGAUUUGGAGCUGAUAUACCCUUCGUUUAAAAAAUGGCCCAUAUAUGCCCCUGCCGUUAUAGAAAUGGCUCAUAUAUGCCCUUUUACUUAACAGACCAAUAUUUAAUAAAUUAAAAAUUCAUUUUUUUAUGCUUUAAUUUGAGAAAAUGCCACGUGGCUCUUAAAAUACCCCACCCAAUAACUUUUCAGCAACCCGACCCAAUGGAAACAAGAAAACCCCAUCCACUUAAAUAAACCUAGCCCAUUUCAUUCUAUGGUCUCCACUCUCCACGCUUGACAUGAAAAAAAAUCAAAAACUUGUUAGGGUUUCAGUGAGCUCUAAACUGGUGUCAAUCAAUCUCAAUAAUGUUCAAAAUCUUAGGUAAGUUUCGAUUAUUUUCUUCCCUUACUUUUAAGGAUCUUUGGUGUUAAAAAUAUAGGAUAAUAUGUGAGAAAAGUGUAACUGAGUUUACCUAUGUGCUUUUUUCCCUUGACAUUCUGUCCAUGGAAGGUUUAUUUUCUUACUUUAAUACAUGAGUUUAUCUCUUUGUAUGCAGAGAUGGAAUCUUUGUUGGUCCCCAAAUAGUUAUUGUCUCUUUAGUAUUUUAAAAUUCAUUUUUCAAUUGGUUGGUGUUAAAUGCUAAGGUGGUCCCUUAUGUCUAAUUUAUUUGCUUGUUGCAGGUGUCAUUUUGAAGGAUGAUUAAAGAAGUGGAUAUUGUUUUCAACUAUGGGGGCAAUAGGGUAAUUUCCCCAAAGCUGGGAUACAAUAUAAAAUUUCAGCACACCUGGUAUUAUAAUACUUGUUUAGUUUGUUAUGAUGAUUUGUGUGAAGCUUUUACUUCCAAAUUUGGAUUUAAGGAAGUUCAACAAUUGUUGGUCACUGGUCCAUCUGGUACUUAUUAUGUAAUUGAAGAUAAUGAUGGAAUUAAGACUCUUCAAUACUUAUUUUCAGAAGAUUUCAAGGUAAUAGAUUUUUAUGUUGUAGAUGCUCAUGAAUUGAGAGUUUCUGCCACAAAUAUCAUAUAUCAUACUGAAUCAUAUUUUGUGGAUGUUGAAGCUGCUACUGAUUGUGAUUAUAGUGAUGUGGAGGAUGAUACUCUUUAUGAAAUGGGCAACAGUUGUGAAAUUGUUGAAUAUAAUGUUGAAGUGCUUCAACGUUAUGAACAUGAAAAAGAGAGAGUUGUGAGUGAUGGACUUGAAAAGUUUAAGGAAUUAGAAAUGGGUAUGACCUUUAAGACUAUUGAAGAACCUAGGCAGGUUGUUAGCUUUUAUGCUAUGGCUAACAAAAGAAGUUGAAAACAAAAAAAAGUGAUACAAAAAGAAUUAGGUAUGAGUGUUAUGAUGGUUGUCCCUUUUACUCUUCUCAUAUCUAAGGAUGGAAAAUCAGCAACAUUUAAGGUUAAAACAUUGAUGCCUAAGCAUACUUGUGGUGAUUCUUUUGUUAAUCCAUUGGAAACUUAUCAUACCUUGGCUGUUUAUUUUAAGGAUGAAGUUCUAAACAAUCCAAAAUACCCUAUCAAAGACAUGAGAGGAAUUCUUGAAAAAAAAUUCAAGUUGAAUGUCUUAAGAUCCAAACUAAAAAGAGCCAAAACAAUGGCUCUUGAUAAGUUGGAAGGCAGUUUCAAAGAUGACUACAAUAGGCUUGAAGCUUAUGGUCAAGAACUUAGACAAUCAAAACCAGGAUCUGAUGUGGUAAUUAAUAUCUCUAAAGAUGCACUUGAACAAGGCAUAAGAAGGUUUUUGAGAAUGUACAUUUGCUUCAAGGCUUUGAAGGAUGGAUGGAAAAGUUUGAGACCUAUAAUUGGUUUAGAUGGAACAUUUCUCAAAGGAAAAUGCAAGGGGCAACUAUUAGUAGUUGUUGGGCAAGACUCAAUGAAUCAUUUUUACCCAAUAGCUUGGGCAGUGGUGGAAAAGGAAAACACAGGAACAUGGACAUGGUUUAUUCAGUUGUUGAGGAUUUCGUUGGAGUUGAAAAAUGGUGAAAUUGUGACAUUUAUGUCUGAUAUGCAAAAGGUAGCUUUAAAUUUAUUUUUUUCUUAUUGCCUUUUCUUUAUCUUUUUUCUUACUGUCAUUUUUUUCUUUUCGAUUUUUAGGGCCUGUUCGAUGUUGUAGCUAAUGUUGUUCCAGAAGCACACCAUAGGCUUUGUGUGAGGCAUAUAGAAUCUAACUGGUGCAAGAAAUGGCGGAGUGGUGAAGAGAAAAAAUUGAUGUGGUGGUGUGCAUGGAGUACCUAUGAAGAAGAAUUCAAAGACACUUUGAAGGUGUUAGGAAAGGUGGAUGAAGAUUCAGCUAGUGAUCUUCUUCAUUUUCCUGUAAUUAAAUGGUGUAGGGCAUAUUUUGAUACUCAAUGUAAGAAUCUAAUGGUAGACAAUAACUUCACCGAGUCUUUUAACAGUUGGAUACUUGAAGCUAGAAAAAACCAAUCAUUAAAAUGUUGGAGGAAAUUAGAGUGAAGGUGAUGAAUAUGUUGGUGAAAAAUGAAAAAAUGGGCAGAAAAUGGCAAAAUGAUAUCAGUCCAACGGUUAUGAAAUUGUACAAUGACUAUCGAUUAAUGGCUACCAAUGGUACAGUUGAGUUCAAUGGAGAUUAUGGUUAUGAAGUGAAAGAUGGAGACACGGACACACAUACAGUGAAUUUGGAGUUGAAGAAAUGCAUUUGUAGAUUAUGGGACUUGGGUGGAAUACCGUGUCACCAUACCAUCAAGGCAAUUUUGCAUAAAAAAACUGAACCAUUGGAAGAGGUUCAUUACUGCUAUAAAAAGAGGCUUAUUUGUUAACAUACAAGCACAAGUUGCAACCAGUUAGGGGUUCUCAAUUCUGGAAAAUCGACCAUGCUCAAGCAAUGGAACCUCCGAAAAUGGUAAAACUUGUUGGCAGACCCAAGAUGAAAAGAAAUAAAGAAACUGAUGAGGCAAGUUUGAGAAAGGGGGCAUGGAAGCAGUCAAGAAAAGGAACUCUAAUGAGAUGCAACAAAUGUGGUGAUUUCAAUCACAAUGCUAAGGGAUGUUAUAAGGUAAUCUCUCUUAAUAUUUUCUUUUAGUUAAAAGGUGUUCAUUUUUGUCAAUCACAACAAUUUUUUUGGGUUGAAGGACCAUGAAGACGGUGAAAGUUAGCAUGAAAGAAAUAAGAAAGCAAGCAAUCAAAAGUCGAGGAGUUGAGCAAGAAAAAACUCUAUUGUAGAGUAUGAGACAGAAGCUUCACCCCAACAAUUUCAGACAAAACAGUCGACUGCCUAUGGUCCUAAGAUCGGGAAUGAUGAAGAUCCAGCAUUGCGACCAAUGGUAAUUUUUGAGACAGAAACAAGGAUGGAAAAGAGGUCUCGAAUAUUUGAAGGAAUAGGAAGCAGGAAGAUUGUUUUUUAAGGGGAUGCAAGAGGAAUCUCGACCCCUUCGGAUCUACCAUAUUCACCAAAGAAGACUACUUGAAAGGGCAAGAAAGCAGUCACAAUUGAUCAGUUACAAGCUGAAGUAAAGAAGAAAAGAGUGAAACAAAUGGCAAUGAAGGGCAAAUGGCCCGUGGAUACUAAUGAUGAUCUAGUUUAGAAGUCGUUGUGUGGUUGAUCAUUUUUUGACAUUAGGUGGUUAUUUUGGAUAGUAUUAUAUGAUGUAAAUCCAAACAAUUUCUUUUGUUGCUAACCAUAUAAUAGAUAUUUGUGGUUGGUUUAACCACCAGAAGGUUAAUCUUCUUUUGCUGGUAACUUGUGUUAAGAUAAUUUUAUAAAAAUUGAGAAUUAUAUUCUACUGCAUCUGGUGUAAUUAUUGUUGAUUGUAUUUUGUGUGAGAGAGUAAAUUUAUGUGCUUUGAUUGGUAGCGUUGUUUAAAUUACGACUAAAAUUAGCAUUGUUCACGAUCUUCUUUGAACUAGUAGAUAGCUCACAGAUGAUUCAACGUGGAAUGUCAAGGAGUCAUUGAUGAUUCUCUAUCAUUUUACCUCGAGCUUUUGAUUCUCUUUCAUUACUAAAUAAUACAAAAGUUGACAAAAUCACUACACAAGACCAAAUAAGGUGAAUCAAAAGUUGUCAUAAAUCAAUACAAUGAACCAAAAGUUAAUUACACAUAAGUCACAAAACUGCAAAUGAGAUGAAAAAGUUUAGUCGCAUAAUAUGGCCUUGGAAUCUAUCAUUUAAAUUCCCAGAAAAGAUAUGAUCCUACAAAGUACUACUAUAUUUCCAAAUUUUACAAACUUUUUGCCUCAGUGAGUGAAGAAAAGAACCCAACUAAGCAACUGAAUGUAAAAUAACUUCAAACUUUUCUCUCGAAUUUUAAGAUUUCAUAAACGCAAUGACUCCGUCCACAGUUCGUUCGCGAACACUCUGAAUAUGUGGUGUGACGGCCAAUAAAACUUCAGCAGACUCUUGAUUUUCACUUGUAGCUGCAAGAUGUAUUAGCAUGUAAUUAUCACUGACAGUAUCCCCUGCCUUUACCACACAACGAAAGAAUGAACUGCCGCAACUGCUAGCAGAGGACACAUAUUAUCAUCUCCUAUUUGAGCAUCAAAAUUAGCAUGGUGUUUUAGCAAAACCGUAAUAGCAUCUUCCUGGCUGCGGUCUACAACGCAUAUUAAUGGUGUUCCAACAUCAACAUCACUUCGCAAAUCAACGUCUACACCUAUCGGUAGAAACAAUUUAACCAAUUCAAUAUGCCCAUUUCCUGCAUCAUUAAAUGGACAAAAUAAAACACAUAAGAAUAUCACUUCAAGCAAAGAAUAUCAAGAACAAAUUUACCCUAUAACUCUAACACCAAAGGUCCUUAAAAGAAAAGGGAAGAAAGUAAUCGAAACUUACAUAAGAUUUUGAACAAUAUUGAGACUGAUUGACGCCAAUUUAGAGCUCACCGAAACCUACCAACAUUUUGAUUUUUUUUCUUGUUGAGCGUGGAGAGUGGAGACCAUAGAAUUAAAUGGGUUAAAGUUUAUUUAAGUGGGUGGGGUUUUCUUGUUUUCAAUUGGGUCGGGUUGGUGAAAAGUUAUUGGGUGGGGUAUUUUAAGAGCGAUGUGGCAUUUUCUCAAAUUAAAGCAUAAAAAAAUGAAAUUUAAUUUAUUAAAUAUUGGUCUGUUAAAUAAAAGGGCAUAUAUGGGCCAUUUCUAUAACGGCAGGGACAUAUAUGAGCCAUUUUUUAAACGGAGGGUAUAUCAGCUCCAAAUCAUAAAGUUGAGGGGUAAAUCAGGCCCUUUUCCCAUAUAAGUAUGUUUCUUACAUACAAGAGAUUGAUGAUUUUAAUUCCAUUGAAAGCUACUUAGUAGAAUUUUCCAAAUCAAAGAGAGAGAAAUAUUAAGAUCCAAGUAGGAAUUUCUCUAUUCCUAGUUCGAUUCAAUUAACCAAGCAUAAAUAUCUCUUAAUAUACAAGAGAAGUUUAGACUCUAAAAGUCAAAUCAACAAAAUAUUGAUGGGCUAACACAUGAAAAACUACUGAGAAAAUCGCCUAAUUCCUGUAAAUUGUCCCUUAAAUACCCAAAAUGGACUCUAAAAAUUGUUAGAAUGUACGUAUUGCUCCCCCAACUCCCUACUGAGGGUUUUGUAAAGAUUUCGAUUAGAAAUCGUCCAUAAGUCAUAUCACUAAUAUAUUAAUGGUUAACACACACGACAAACUGAGAAAAUUAUCUAAUUUCUUUAAAUUGGCCCCUAAAUGCCUAAAAUGGACUCUAAAAGUUGUGAGACUGUACAUACUGCUCCCCCGACUCCCUACAGAGGGUUUCGUAAAUGUGUAGCAAAGAAAUCGUCUGAAAGUCAUAUCACUGAAAUAUUAAUGGGCUAACACAUACAAAACACUGAGAAAGUCGCCUAAUUCCUGUAAAUUGGAAUUCUAAAAUUGUGAGACUAUACGUAUUGCUCCAUUAACUCUCUAUGGAGGGUUCCGUAAAGAUUUCACAAAGAAAUUAUUCGAAAGACUUAUCACCAAAAUAUUCAUGGGCUAAUACAGACGAAUUGAGAAGAUCACCUAUUUCCUAUAAAUUAGCCGUGGGAUACCUAAAAUGGACUCUAAAAAUUGUGAGACUAACUCCCUACGAAGGGUUCCAUAUAAGUUUCGCAAAAGAAAUCAUUCAGAAAUCAUAUCACCAAAAUAUUUAUGGAUUAACACACACGAAAAAUUGAAAAAAUCGCCUAAUUCUUUUAAAUUGGCCCCUUAAUCCCUUUACGAGAUUAAUUAGAGAUGCGCGAGCGCGCGCACACACACACAUACACACACAUAUAUAUAUAUAAAGAAGAGAAGCUAGUUGUAGGGUUUGAUUGCCAUAAAAUACUUAGACAAUGUGGGUGACGCACAUUGUGAAUCUCAUGAAUUGACUCGUGGAUCAUUGUGAUAUUGGCCCAUGAAACUUAGUCUUAGGGAAAGAUUGUUGGGUGUGAGAUUGAAUUUCCACAUUUGAGAAGCUAUAUAUAAGGUGUAGGAUCUCUUAAGGGAAAAUUUCAUGUAUGGAAAACGUAUUUAAUGAAAUAACGCUCUAUAGGUAUAGUUUAGUAAUUACAUUCAAUGGGUAGUUUAGUUUGCUAUGAAGCAUUAAUUUUGUAUAUAAUGUUUUUUUUAAAAAUAAUUUAUACAAUAUUUUUUUUAAUAAAUGGAUACAUGAGCGCUAAAUACAGUAACAAAAAAUUUACAUAAUCCCAUGAUUCAAGCUAAUCGUUCAAAAUCAAAUAUUUUUCCAAAAAAGAGUUCUAUAGCAAUAGAAACACCAUAACAGCUGGUUUCCUCAAACGACUGAAGCAUACGAUUAAUCAAUAUUCUUGUAUAUUCAACACCAGGUAAGCGUUUCUUUCAAGGAAACUUCAUGUUUUGAACGGCAAGAAAGUAUACAAUUGAUUUGUAUAGUAUAUAAUUGAAAUUUUGGAAAACGGAUUAUUUUUGUUUUGUUCAUUCUAAUGGUUCGCAAUAAUUUAAUUUUGUUUAUACAAUAUUAGAUAAAUUUUAUAUUAACAAUUCAAUUCUAAUUUUUUGUUCAAAAAAUUGAAUGACACAAUUUGUAUAUAUGAAGUGUAUAUGAUUCGACAACAAUGGUGUGCUUUAAUUUGCUAAUUUUUGUUGUUGUUGUUGUUGUAAUUUUACUGUAUAAAUAAGUUAUACGAUUUGUAUAUUGUUUAAUUGGUAAUAUUGUAUAUAUGUAAGUAAUUGUAUACAAUUAUUAUACCAUAAAUAAGUGUAAGUAGUUGUAUAAAAUUACUAUGACAAUUAUAUAUAUGAAUUGUAUAUGAUUCAAUAAAAAAGGUGUGCUUUAAUUUGAUAAUUUUUGGUGUAACCUAAUGUUGACACCCAUUUUUGGACCUCCACAAUAUAUAUUAAUUCUCGAGCUUCUUAGAUUUCAAAUGAUUUGGAGUUAUUAGUUUAUAAAAUUUAAAUAUUUUUUAAAAAGAUUUUUGAAGCGAUUUAGUCGGCUUUAUAAUAUUUUAGAUAAUAGAUGGAUUUUACAUAAUUACUUAUAUAAUCAACGUGUAUUAUUAGCAUUUGGAAAUCAUCUUGAAAUAUUUUGCAUUUUUUAAAAUUAACUAUGUUAUUAAUUUAGUUUAGUAUAAAUUAAAGUUAUGAUUCUGAGUUAUUUGAAUUAGUUAGUUUAUAAUUAAAUUGUUUAUUUUAUUUUUGUUAAGAUUAAGAAGCUUGUUAAUUAAUUAAUAACAAUUCAUCUUAUUUAGACUUUGGCCGAAUUCACCAAUUAAUCCCAAUUUGGCUAAGUUUUAACUCUGAAUGGUUAUAAUCGUAAUCCAUUUAGCCCUUCUUGAUAUUGCAAUUUUAACCAUUCUCUAACCUUACCUCUAGCUUAUUUAAAUAAUCACCAAGGGGCUUUUAUCCUUGAUUACAUUUUCAGCAACACCCAAGCCCAUUUUUCCAUCAGCGUACAAUUAUUUCCAGCCAAUAAACUCCAGCAGUCCAUACCCACCCUCCAAUUCCCAUUACAGCAUACAACAAUUCCCAGUGAUUCAAACAUACACGUAGAGCAGCACCAACCGACCCCAUCCCCUUUAUUUCGCUCAUCUCCUCGUCCGUUUCAAAGUAAUAUUCUGGUGUUUGGAAGCAUCUGUUCUGUGAUUGUUCGUUGUUAUUUUUCAUAGGAUUGAUGAUGUUUUUAACGUAUUAAAUGUACACUUAAUUGUUUCCAUCAGUUAGUCCUAAUAUGGGGUCAAGUUCCGGAGAGCCAUUAAAGUUUUAUUUUGUUGUAUUUCUUUUCUUGAGCCUGCUCCUCGAACAUCGUCGAAUCUAUGUUCUUUUCGCUUUAGCAUCUUGAAUAUUGAAAGUUCCAUUCACUUUAUUACUGCUAAUGUUCUCUGUUCUUCCUUUGAGAUGAGGAAAAAUCUUCCGUACAAAUUGUAUGUUGUUGUAGCUGCUGUUCGGUAGGCAUAAGUGGUUAUUUUCUUCUUGAUUAAAUUUCAUGGCCGUCCUAUUUUGCAUUGCGAAUGUGUAACUGUUUAUUUGGUUUUUAUUCCUCCUCAUUUUCAGCAUAUUUCCAUAAUUUUGGUUGAGUGUAUUGCUUAUUCUAACUUGAAGCUAAAUGUUUAUAAUAAUUUCGUUGGUUGUCUGCUUAAAUGUGGGCUGAAUAUCAAUACUAUUCUUUCUAAAUGUUAAGUUAUACUCGUUCUUUUUGGUUUUUUUUCUUCCGAGGAUUUGCUUUCGACUAUAGUUCUGUUUCUUUUGUGCGUGUGUUUGGAGGUCGGCAUUUGGUUUUAUGCCAGCCUAGUUUUACAUAUCUCUUUUCACUUUCAUGGAAACCUUUGAUGUUAUAGCUCUACUUGUCGGAUUAGGUUUAAAAAAAUGAAAUGCAUCUUUGUUCUUCUCAAAUUUGUUCCAUGUUUUCUUGGUUUUUUAAAAAAAAUGGUAUAGCUGAUUAAAAUAGCAUUAGUUUAGCUCGAGAUUUCCUUAAUACCGUGUUGCUAUUUAUUCUAUCUCGCAUCUUAUAACUCGAUAUUAUUUGUCUUGGGUUCUUUGUGGCUUUUAUUUCGAAAGUUUUGCCUUGCUAUCGUGUCAAUUUUCGUGCUUGUUGUUUGUAGCUGCUUGAGAAAAUAUGAAUGACCACUUUAUAAAAAAAAAAAAAAAAGGAGUUAGAAUCAACAAUGGGUUGCUGUUUGAAUAAUUGACCUUCAGCUUAUUUUGCUCAAAUGUUAAGUCACGUAUGUUCCCAAACACGGUUCGUAUACAAUGGUACACGUGAUGUGUAUACACAGAUUUCUUGAAGGAAAAUGGGGGGCAAAAGCCCAAGGAAAUUUCAGCAAGUCCAAGAUUUGGGCCUAAUUUGAUAUUCCUCUCCUUGCUCUUAUUUAUUUUGUUAUAUUUGACUAACGUUUUGAUUAUCUUAUGAUUUAAUCUAAUUAAAUUUUCCAAGAAUGGUCAUUUCAUUUUAUUUUUCGAAUUAAAGUAUAUAUAUUUUAUUACUUAGUUUUUAUUUUAAUAUUUGUCUUGUUGACAUUUUAUGAACUAUUUCCCUUUAGAAAAUUCUCCUUUAGUUCAUUCCCCCUUAAGAUAAAUAAAAUGAUAAAAAUAAUAGUAAUAAAUAAAUGAGUUCAUUUACUUAGCUAAAUUUUUUUUUAAAUAAGUUAAAAUAAAUGAGUUCUUUUACUUAGUUAAAAUUUCAAAAAUUAGUCAAAGUCGUUAUGAGCUCUUUUAUACUUAGUUAAAAUUUCAAAAGUUAGUCAAAGUCAUUUUUAGUCAAAUCGUCGGUCAACCGCAAGUUAGCGGACAUUUUGAGGGCCUAACACCUUCUCGGAAUGUACAUUGAACUCGAACCCUUUUUCAAUUGAUUUUAUCUGUUUGAGUAUUUUGAAAAUCUUAAGUUUUUUCUUGAGUUUUACUAAAAAAAUUAAGUGGCGACUCUAUUCUUUUGGAAAUCGAUUUCUCUUAAACUACAAGUUUAAUCGAUUUUUUCGAAAUCCUAGUCAUUUUUCUUUUAUAUAUAUUUUCGAGUAAAACACCUAACUGUAUAUAUAAUAAUGUAAGGUUUGUAUAUUGUUUAAUUCAUACUAUUGUAUAUAACUUACAAAAUAUACAAAUAUAUAUAUAUAAUACAAUUAUGAUUUAAGCAAAAAAUAUACAUAUACUUCAAGCAAUUUUGUAUAUAACUAACAAAAUAUACAAAUAUCUAAAUACAAUUGUGAUUUAAGCAGAAAAUAUACAUAUAUUUCAAACAAUUUUGUAUAUAACUAACAAAAUAUACAAAUAUCUACAUACAAUUGUGUUUUAAGCAAAUAUUUGAUGUUCUUGAUCUAAUGAAGGAGACACAACCUCCUCAGAAUCACUAUCUUUGGCUUUCCUCGUACUUCCUCCUUCAACAACUUUAAUGUCGCUUGCCUUAACAUUGUUGAUGACUUCUGGGAGUGCAAUUGGGUCAUUUUUUUUCUUGGAUCUCAAUUCUUCAAUAGAUUUUUCCUGUAGAAUUUGUUUAGAUUUUUCCAUAGACCCUGCAUUGACUCCAAAAUCUUGAGUUAAACCGAGUGAAAAUGAAGGUUGAUUAUUAAAAACUUUGACAUGCAAUGACGUACCUCUCGCAAUCCUCUUAGAUGGAGUCGAAUCAUCCAUUUUAUUUUUUGUAAAAAUGAUAUAUAAUAAGUAAUGAGGGAAUUUUGAGAAAAAAUUAUCCAAACACUAACAUGCACAAUACAUAUACAAUUGAAAAAUGAAAAAGAAAAAAAGAAAAGAGGUUCACCUACGAUUUAUGCGGUUACCUGCAAAAAGUAAAACACGAUUGGAGGGAGAAAGUGAAAUUCGAAUUUCAAAUUGAUUUUAGGAGAAAAACAGGAAAUGAGGAGAGGAGAGGAGAGGAGAGGAGAGGAGAGAUAAAUUUAAUUUUGUAUAAAAUCAUAUACAAAGACCGAUGAAGGCUUUGUUGAUUCGGUAUACAAAGUGGUGGUGGGUCUCAUUAUUAAUGGCGAAAAAACUGAAAUUGUAUUUACUAACAGUAAAUAAAUUAAAUUAUACCCUCAAUGACUAAUAGCCUAGUAAUAUUUGCCAACUCACUUAAUUUUUCCAUAAUGUGUGAGACUUUUUGAAAGAAAAAAAAAUUGUGCUAACUUGGUUAAAGUGAACAAUUAUCAUACUCUAUUUAGAAUAUCUUUGGGCUAAUUUAUCCGAACAAAAACAAAUAAGUCCCCAAUCUAAGACCAUUAGCCGUUACUUGAAGACAAGACAUUCAUCAUUUGAACUAUUGAAUUAUGGACACAAGUCAAAGAAUCUUCCAACUAUUCAAGAAGUGUAAUUAAUACUUAAUAAAUAUAAUGUCAUCCUCAAUAACUUCAAAUAAUAUCCAAUAAUCAAUAUUAAAUUUUGAUAUUAAUAGAAAUAGUUAAUGAACCCCAAGUUGUAUAAUUUGAUUGUUGGGAUAAAAGAUAAAAGUCAAUCAAAAAUUUAAUUUUUUUAAGAAAUAAUCUUUUAAUUGUGAUUCAAUAAUGUAAUAACACAAGCAAUUACAAUACAUAUAAAUUUGCCAUGUCAGCAUAUGGUGUUCAUGAGUGCGUGUAUGACAAUAGUAAAAGUAUCUAUUUGGUCUUUUAGAUAAAUUUCAGUAUCUAAAUUACAAUUUUUGUCAAAUUUGAGGGAUUAUCUAGAUAUUUAGAUAAAAUUAUUUAUAUAUAAUUAUCUCUAAAUAGGCUCAUAAGCCAGUAAAUGAUACUUUAUAAAUAACUUCAGUUGUAAGUGUUUCUCUUACAAAUUCAAAUUAAUCCAAUGACAAAACCUUUUUAUGAUUUGACUGAAGAGGUUUCUGUGUUGCUGGUAUAUCAAGAUGAGGAAUUGGUUUCUAGUAAAUCAAAUGGUUGAUUUACUAGAGUUCAAUGGAUACAAAGGUGAUAUAUCUAGAACUAAUUUCUAUAUGACUUUCAUUAUAUAGAGAGAGAAUUAAUUGAUACGAUGUUUAUUUAGAACUUUUCCUUUCCUUGUUAUCAUAACAUUAUUUCUAUGCUUGUGUAUGUUGUGUUACAAGUUAAUAAAUGAAUUUGUAUGAUUAUAAGGAAUUAAAUUAGAUUCUUCAUUUUUGUUUUUGUUGUAACCAUGUCACUGACUCGAUUAGCUUUCUCCAUAAGGAUUGUGUAAUUUUUCAAAGAGGUUCAAUAAUUUUAUGUUAAAGUAUGUGUUGUUCUAAUUUUAUCGGAUAUUUUUCCAUAAAGGAGAUAGUUUAAGUUUAUGUUAAUAUUAAUUAUUUCACACUUGACUUUUUUGUACAAAAAAUAAAAAGGAAACUUAUUCUUUGUCAAUCGGGCCUAGAGUGACAUCGUGUUGGAGGAGAAAAUAAUUAGGACCCUCAUAAAUAAUUUUGAAAUCAUAGAUCUUUGAUUUUUACAAAUCUAUAUAUUGUUUUAGAAAGAAAACACAUUCACUUGGAUGAUUGAGGCACAAAAUAAGAGUAAGAGAUUGAAGAGAAGAGCGAGAUAAAGACAUGAUAAGAGAUGAUUUGGCUAUCAUUAUUGUCUGAGAUGACUUUUUUUUGUCUUUUAUUCAAUGUAGACAAACAAAUAAAUAGGGACAUGUGAUUUUCAUGAUUUUUUUCUUCUAUUUUUUUUUUUUGUCUUUUAUUAGAUGUAGACAAGAAAAGAAAUUUUUUUCAUGUGACUUUUCCUCAUUUAUUUUUGUUUCAUUUUCAAUUACUUUGUUAGUAUUUAAUAUCGAUUGUUCCUUAUUCAAGCUAUGUUAAAUAUUUUUAACAUAAUUUUUUUGGUAACUCCUUUCUAAUAAUUUGUUAAAUCUUCUAAACUCUCGUUACUUAUUUAUGAAAUAAAAUUACCUUAAAACUUUUUACAUAAAUUUAUCUUAAAACUUUUUAUCCUAUUAUAUCUUGCUUUAAUAGUAUUUAAUCUAUAUAUAUAUUCAGUGUUUAUUUGUUUUCAACAAGUCAAAGAAUAAAUUAGAAUAUAUUCUUUAGAAUUAUAUUCCUAUAGAAUCUUCUCUAUUAUAUAUUCCUACAGUUAUUUACUGUAAAGUAAUAUUAUAUAUUAGUAAGAUUGCACACACCGUUUACGAUAUAAGUUGAUUAAUAUGUGUUAUUUCAUAAAUUAAAGUAUAGCAACAUAAUAUGAAAUUUCAUAAUUGAAUUUGAAUGAGAAAUUAAAUAAACAUAUCCAAAUGAUAAUUUUGUGUAUAAUAUUUUUUUCAUGUUCUUCACUAACUUUAAAGUGUAUGGAUAUAUACAGUUACGACAGCUACAACUCCUGCAGCAAUGUCAAUGCUCUCCAAAGAAAAGAAAAAAAUUGACAUGAUGAUAAUCGAUGUCAAUUCAUCAGAUUUACAUUGUUUUGAACUCUUGACACAAGCUGUAACCUUAAAUAUAAUCUCUCUUGGUAAGUAUUUAUAAUUCUAUUUUUCACUUCUUGUUAUAAAUAUUGGGUAAAAUCAGUUGUUUCAAUUAAUACACCACAAAAAUAUAAUUAGCUAUAAAAUUUAUCGUUAAUCUAUUGUCAAGAGACGACAUCUAUCCAUUGGUAAUCUUGUUUUUAGUUAUAGUUAUAUGAUAAAUGAUUGUUUCGUAACAAAGUUGUUGUCGUAACAGAUAAAAUUCAGUAAAUAUAUGUGUGAAAUUAACUAUUCUCAUAAUGUAUGAUAUAUUUUUAUUUUUAUUUUUAACUUCUCAAUAUAAUUAUGUAGUUGUAUGUGAUGAACUCAAUAGACUCUUAGCCAAGAACGCUUUGGAAAAUGGAGCUUAUUUUGCUUGAAAAAGCCAUUCAACAAGGAAAUUGUGAAAUACUUAUGGCAACUUGUAUUGAGAGAAAAAAUACAAAGGGAGAAAUCGAAAAAAGGUUUAGAAGCAAAUGGACGAAAUCAUAUGAAUGCUGAUGAAAUUUAUGAUAGUAAUAUUGUAAGAGAUGAACAAUUUGGAGAGAAGAAUAUGCAUGUUGAUACUGAGGAACAUAACAAUAAUAUCCAUAAGGCUGAAAAUGAUGGCGUAUCAACUGGUAAAUACAAGUUGAAGAGGAAGAGAGGGAGAAAAGGUAUAAAACAGAUUAAUGAAGGAGAAAGUCGUAGCAGUACUGUUAUUAAUAAGACUGGUACACGUAAAUGACUUGUAUCAUGCAUUUUAAACAUACAUAAAUGACAAUGAAUUUGAGAUAAUAAUUAUAUCCAUAGUCCAACUCUCCUUUGAGUUUUUCUUUCUUUCAGAAAUGUCGUGAAAACAAUUGGAGACCUCGAAAAGAGAGAAAGAAUAUUCAUCACGGAUCCUCAAGUGAUUCUCAACAAAGAAGUAGUUGUAACACAUCAUUAGAAAGAAAAAAAAGGAGCUGCAAAAAACUUGGAAAAAUGCCUCAUCUUCAAACAAAUAUACCAAAUCAAAUACAAAGAGUCUCAGAGUUCCCACCAGUUAAUACCAACAACAUUUUUGCUAUUUCAACUCAGCAGCAACUCCAUCACCCACAACUUCAGGCUCAACCUCACUGCCUAAACCCAUCUUUGUCAGCCCAAAAUGAUGUUGGUGGUCAACUACAACAACACAGUCUGUUAUUUGGAAUGCGGGUCCAAUUAUUGGAAGCACUCAAAAUGGUUAUGGCUUGGAUCUCAAUCCUACCCAUGUAACAACAUAUUCAGGUAGCACAAUGAUAACUAAUACAAAUGUUGGAAAUGUGACACUUAAUGGAUUGGGAGCUACAAAUGCUAAUUUUCAGCAAGAUAUUGGUGAACAAAACAUGUUUGAUCCAAGUUCUUGCUCUCGUAAUAUUUGUAUCUUAACUUAUCGAAUGCAUUUAUGUAUCUUCCUGUAUUGCAAAAGCUAUAAUUGGGAAAAUAUUUUCAUCUUUUGAUGAGAAAUUUCUUAACCUUUACUCAUUUCUUCGUUUCCUUAUUAUGUAUUGAAUGUUUAAGAUUGUAGUAUAUUAUUACAUACUUAAAUCUUGUUUAUGAAAUUUUUUAAUGAUUAAUGUUUGGAUUAUAAAUCUCUUGUUUUGCUUAUGUAUUGAAUGAUUUUUAUUUUUAAUGAAGUGAGUCAAAUUGUUUCUUUAAUUAUUCUUGUGUUUUAAUAUUUCUAAAAGGAGCGACUAAUCCUAGGACUUGCUCAGUUACUUUGAUUUGAGCUCGAGAGAGUGAAAAAAGAAUAAGAAGAGAGAUUGGAAAAGAUUAAUUAACAAAAAUUGUGGUACUAAUUUGGGUAUUAAUAAACAAAUCCUUACUUGAUCGCAUAUGUGUUGUUCUGUGUGAAAUUUGCCUCUGACUUAUAGUUGACUAAAUUAUAUUGCAUAUGUUCGUGUACAUUUUCUCACUUGGAAGAGUGGAUUUGGAUGUUAUUAACCAUCACCAUCGUUUAGGUAGAAAAAGAAAAUAACUAAUAGUUUAAUGUUUUAAUACAUAAAUGAUCAACUAAUAUGAGACGGAAAGAGUAGCGUAAAUGUAAGAUUCACUUCUCACCAAGAAUCCUCCUUUCUUAUUAUUUUCCUUUUAGAGGUUAAUAAUUAUUAUGUAUCCCUAGAAUAAUUUAUUGAAAUAGUAGAUUUGAAAGAAAGCAAUUAUUCUCUUCUUCCUAUGCGGGACUUUUAGAACAAAACUAAUUUGACAAAAACCACAAUUUAUUGAUUUUUAGGUGGAAUUAUAUCAAUAAGGAACUAUGCUUAUAAUAUUAAUCUAAGAUCAUUAGGGGUCGUUUGGUAGAGUGUAUGAGGUAAAAUAAUGCAUGCAUUAGGUGUGUGUAUUAGUAAUACCUUGUUUGGUACACUUUUUCAUGUCAUGUAUAACUAAUGCAAGCAUUAGUUAUACACUAUAUUGUGUAUUACUAAUACCAAGAAAUCCUAGAUAUUAGUAAUACAUAGCGUUUUAAUACUUGCAUUAGAUUAUACAAUUACAAAACUACCCUCAAAGCCUUUUAAAAAAACAUCUUCAUUUUCCAUGGUACUGUGUUUAGAAACCUUUCAUCUUCUAUGUGGCUGCUAACACUACAAGAAAAGUGUGAAUUACAUGAGGAUUUUCCUGGGGAUUAGUAUGAAAAUCCGUAGGAAACUUAUUUUUCUGCAAAUUUUCAUACUAAUCCCCAGGGAAAUCCCCAUGUAAUUCACAUUUUUCUUGUAGUGUAAACCUUUAAAAAAAAACAUCUCCGUUAUUUAUAAAUUUGAUUGUUGUAAUACUUUUUUGUAUUUCAAUUGCACUAAAAAAUAGGAUCUGUGGCUGCUAAAGCAUAUGCCCAGACUCCUAAUAUAUAUAAAGUGCAUAUACUGAUUUUAAUAGGGUACCGCUUUGCAGUUAGGAAUUAUCUCAGGUCUAUGCUGCCUGUAUCUCCCUUACAUUCCAUCAGUUUUUAUUUUUUAUUUUUGGACUCGUUUUAUCUCAAAAUAUAUAUAAAGCACUACUAAUGCAUGCAUUACUAACACACCCUAUUUUACAUUAUUCUUAUACACUCUGCCAAACGAUCCCUAUUGUUACUUGAACACAUGGAUUCAUCAUCUGAACAAUUGAAACAAUUAAUACUUGUGUGAACCUCUUGUUAUUUCGAGUGAUGUGUCAGAAUCUUUAGCCAACUAAGACUAGCGUUAAAUUUUUGGCAAGUCUCAAGAAGUGUAAUUAAUACUUAAUAAAAUAAUCUCAUCCUUGAGAUUCAAGAACUUGUUUGGUCUGAAUAGGUUUUAAUCAUUAAGAUCUAGAACAAAGUCUUAAUAUUAGUAAGAGGUAUUUUUGUGUGAAUAGUUUUCUUUGAGGUUCGAGAAAUGGAAUAGAUAUGGACUACAAGUUGAUAUUCGCCAUUAGGAAAUUCACACGAAAAGGAACGAGGAAUUCUCAAUGAAAAAAGCGCUCUCUAAAUCUGUUUAGUAUUUGCCAUGAGGUUCUUACCAUAAUUGAAUUUUCCUUUUAGGAAAAGGUAAACACAGUCUCCAUAUUUGUCUAGUUCUUUUUCUUGUACGAAAAAAAUUAUGACUCUAUAAAUAGAUGUUUAUUCAUUCUAGCUUGGUAGCAUUCAUAAUGUAGUCUUAGGGGGCUUUGAGAGUUUUGUGUAUUGUGUGAAGCUAGGGGAAGAAUGUGUGAGACACAAGUAUUACUUUAACACUUGUGUGAACCUCUUUGUAUUCCGAGUGAAUUGUGUGAGGUCAUUCUUCUCUAGAUUUUGAACUUUCUUUUAUAUAGUGAUUUUUUCAUCUCCUCUUGUGGAUGUAGACCGGUUGACCGAACCACGAUAAAUGUUUGUGUCUUUUUGUAUAUUUCUCGUUUGUCUUAUUACUCAUCGUCUUUCGAGGUUUGCUUUGCUAACUUUUGCAUGACACCUAAUUAUUUCAGUCCCAACAAGUGAUAUCAGAGUCAAGUUCAAUGGUUUAAUGAUCCAAUGGUUGAACCAGGUCAAAAAUAAGUGUUCAUCUUGACGGGUUUAGUUCUACCAUAACAUAUUUGAUAGUAAUGAAGAUUUUUGUUGGAGAAAUAUUUUCAAAGAUGUUUUUUGUGUUGAGAUAUAUAUAUAUAUAUAGAGAGAGAGAGAGAGAGAGAGAGAGAGAGAGAGAGAGAGAGAGGGAGAUAUUUUGCAGAGGAGAUGCAUAGUUAUUGAAGAUUAUGUGAAGAAGGUGGAACAAAUUUAUUUUGUCAGAAAUUUAGGCCAAUGGAGAUAUUUGUUUAGUAUUUGUCAUGAGUUUCUUACCAUAAUUGAGUUUUUUUCUUUUAGAAAAAGGAAAACACAAAGUUUCCAUAUUUGGCUAGUUCUUUUUCUUGUAGGAAAAUGUUUAUGACUCUAAAAUUAUAUGUGUAUUCCUUCUAGCCUAAUAGCAUUCACAAUGUAGUCCUAGGGGGCUUAGAGAGUUUUGUGUAUUGCGUGUAGCUAGGGGAGAAUGUGUGAGACACAAGUGUUACUUUAACACUUCCGUAAACCUCUUUGUUUUUACAUUGAAUUGUGUGGGGUUAUUCCUCUCUAUAUUUUGUACUUUCUUUUAUAUAGUGAAUUGCUCAUAUCCUCUUUUGGAUGUAGGUCGGUUGUUCAAACGACGUUAAAUAUUUGUGUCUUUUGGUAUAUUUUUUGUUUGUUUUAUUACUCACAGUCUUUCAAAGUUUGCUUUGCUAGCUUUUGCAUGAUACCUAAUUAUUUCAGUCCCAACAAAACCAAACGUGAAAGUUGUUUUCCAGCAGGCAACUUUUCUAGUAGCUCUACUCUCGACUUGGAUAAUAUAUCCAAAAAGGUACGCUUUCGGUCAUUCCACAUGCUGCCUAUGUAGAGACAUGUUUAUCUAAAGUGGAUUCUCUUUUUUGCAGUAGGUAUUGAACCUGUUAUGCCCAUUGACUAAGAAGCUAGGGGUGGACACAACAACUACAUGGACCUCUUCCUUUCAUUGGCCAUCACCAUUAGUCGUCUUUGUUAUCACAAUGACCACCACCAUUACCGUCAUCAAAUAUCUCUGUCAUCACAAUUACCAUUCUUAUCAACCACUACUAUAUAUCAAGCAUUUGCUAUAUUUAUGUUUUUUAUCGACAUAAACAAUGGGUUAACAUGAUAUAAUUUAUUAGUAGUUUUAUAUAUUUUUCCCAUAAUAAAGGAAACAAUCACUUAUACAUUCUUUGAGAUCAUUUAGUGUAAAAUCAGGAGUGGAAUCAUAACUAGGGUUAUAGCUUAGGAUCAAUUCACCUUCUUAAUUAAUGGGAUAAUUUACUUAGCUAAAUUUGAGUGAAAAGAAGAAGAAAUUAAUUAAUUUAAUUCGUUUACGUUCCAAUGGGGUGUGCAAUACCCAUAAAUUUGUCAUGUCGUUAUUAGGUGUUCAUGAGAUGCAUAUAUUUCAAGCAAAAGUGUCUAUCUGAUUACUAGACAAGUUUAGCCGUCCAAUUUACAAAUUCUGCCAAAUUUGAGGGACUAUCUAGAUAUUAUUAAGAAAAUCUAUCUUAUUUAAUAUAAUAUUUAAAAUAGAUAACUUUGUAAUUAGUGUUCGCUAGAUCUUCAUAUUUUCUCCAACCAUUAUAAAUUCUCAGUGCUCUCUCUAUAUAAAUUCAUCAGGAUAAAAAUAAACAAGACAAGAUAUCAUACAUAAAAAAUAUCCAAAAGAGUUUUCUUUAAAUAUGUGUAAUCUUUUUUAAAUAGCAUAUCCCUUAAGAAGCUAUGUAGUUUUAUCACAAUGUCCUUCUUUAAUUGUUUUUCUUUAAUUAAUAAAAAGGUGUGUUAUAUAUAUCUUCAAUUGAUGAUAAGCCCACUUAUAUACAAAUAAAGUAAUGCAAGUGAAACUCUGUAAAGAAUCCUAUGAAGGUUCUAGCAGAGAAAUUAUAUUUAAAAAGGAGGGUAAUAGCUAAUGUGAAACAAUUAGGGUUGUAAAAUAAAAAAUAAAUCAAAAUAAUAAUAAUUAGGGUUGCAAAGCAACACCCUCUAUUAUUGAAGUUGAAGUUGUAAUUCGUAGGAUUAUUAUAUAAUUGUAAUAAUGCCUAGCUUUUUGUAACAAGAAGAGAAGUGUAUCAUCAUUUGGAGAGUUGUUAGAACAAUUAUAGUUAACAUUUGAGUUAAAGUACUAAAAUUAAUCUCUUAAAUUAUAAAGGUGUAAUUUGAAAUCAUUCGUUGAAGUUAGUAUAGAUUGAUUGAUAAGGAGUUGUUUAUAGUCUUUUGAGCAAAGAUAUUUUCAUUGUAAGCCCUUUCUUACUUAAUUAGCACUCCUUCGUUACUUUUUACUUAGUAGGACAUACGAAUUGAGGUUAGCUUAUCGCAAUCUAGUAUAUACAUUCAAUUAUUAGAAAAUAAAAUAAUAAUAAUAAAAUUAUUAUUAAAUUUAAGUUUUACUGUCUGGAUUUAUCAUGACACAUAUAAUGUCCACUUGGGCAAAUUUAUUAUUUAAAACACAAUAAUAAUAAUAUAUUCAAUGUAAUUUCAUAAUUGACAUUUGAGAAGAAAAAAUAUAUAUGCUAACCCUUGAUUAAAAAAUUAAAAUUAACCAACCAAAACUAAAAUAAAUAUUUAUAUAAGGUUGUGUAGUGAGAACAAUUAGAUAUACUGGUUUUAAUUCAACUAUGCAUUAAAAAGAACAAUAAGUUGCUGUGGUGUAGUGGUUAUCACGUUAGUCUUACACACUAAAGGUCCCCAGUUCGAUCCUGGGCAGCAACAUAUAUGUAAAAAGUUUUACUUUUUUUUUGAUAUGUCGACGAAAACGUGUUUAUCCUUUUAUUUGUCGGCGGCAUGUCGACGAAAACGUGUUUCUCCUCUUUAUUGUUUUCACCAUGACCUCUUCACUACUAUAUUUACAUUACAUGCUUGUUCUAUCGGAAACAACUCUACCUUCACAAGGUAGGGUAAGACUGCAUAAACGUCACCCUCCCCAUAGUACGUAAAAAGAAUAUGAGACAGCUGCAGGAUCAUGGAAAGAUCAAAUUUUCUCUUUAUUUCAUUAUUGCAAUUACUCCAUGUCAAAAUCCAAAUACAUUCUAUAGGCAUUUCUAUCUGAAGAGUAAUAGCCCUCCACAAGAGUAUCCACUUGGAAACCGAGUUUCUUGUAUAGCUGCAUAGCUGCAGUCCUUGUAGGAUCUACAUGAAGCGAUAUCCGAUGAACGUUUCUUGUUCUGCAUUUCUGCACUGCUGCCUCCAGUAAUUUUUCUCCAUGGCCUUGUCCCCUGUAGUUCUCUUUCACUGAUGUAUUCCACAGGAACGAUGCAUCAGUAAACAAAACGAAAAAUUUUAAAUGACAAAAGAUAAGGAAUAUUGUAAAUGAAUCUCUUAACCCCUCGUUUUUCAACUUGUGUUGAUUCGCUCAGGCCAGAGAACAACAAGAGAGAGACAGGCAUAAACAUCACGAUGAAAAACUCAUAACCACAUAGAGAACGAAAGCAAUUCUUUUGAAAAAUAAACAUCACAUGAAAGAUGGUUCUCUCUUCUAUGUAAUGACGGACAAUGCUUCACUGACUUAUCGGGAAUAUUUACUAAUAAUAUCAAUUCACCUUCUGCCUUUCCCUAUUGCGAUUCAAUAUGAUGACGAUCAGAGAAAGAUAUAACUAAACUCUCCUGCAAAAUUCCUUUAAAACAACUGCUAGCUAUUUCAAGGUUCGUUGUUUCCGCAAUAGUAACAUAUCAGCUUUGCUCGGAGGGGAAAACUACAUAACACCACUCUAAUUUAGAAAUGCUGCACUUUCAUCCAAUCCAGCUACAGAGAAAAACGUUGAAAGAGCAGAAGCAAUUUCUCCUACCUCUCUAUUCAUAGAGAUCAAAACUUGUUCGGCAAAUGCAUUCAUGCAUAUUCUUCUUUAAAAGACAACUUUUUGUAGAUGAACUGCUCCCAAAUAAGUAUUUUUAUCUUUUGAAUGCUCAAGUUAUAGUCACAUUCACACUCUUGACUGCUCUUUUUCCUACGAAAACAUUAUCAAAGAGUCACAUUUGAGUUCCUCACGAUUAUAACCUCGUAUAUUAAAUCAAAUUGGUCCUAGUCACAUUCGGAAAUAGUCUCUCUACUUUCACAACUAGGGAUAAGACCGCGUACAGACUAACCUCUCCAAACCCCACUUGUCUACGCGGUCCUAGUCACACUCACAUUGGGAAAUUGUCUCUCUACUUUCACAGGUAGGGAUAAGACUGCGUACACACUACCCUCUCCAGACCCCACUUGUCUACACAGUCCUAGUCACACUCACAUUGGGAAAUAGUCUCUCUACUUUCACAGGUAGGGAUAAGACUGCGUACACACUACCCUCUCCAGACCUUACUUGUCUACGCAGUCCUAAUCACACUCACAUUGGGAAAUAGUCUCUCUACUUUCACAGGUAGGGAUGGAUAAGACUGCCUACACACUAUCCUCUCUCCAAACCCGACUUAUCUACACAGAGUAUGUUGUUGUUCCAAUAAACAAUAUUAGAUAUCAGCUUAGACUUCAAUCCAAGAAUACAACUACAAUAAUCAGAAUAAAUUCAAGAAUAAGACCAAUUAUUAAAAGGAAAAUCAAAGCAAAACAGAAAAUUAUGAAAAGGGUAUUUUUUGUUCAGACCUGCUAAUUUAGUGAUACAAGCAGAGAGUGAAGAAGGCCAAGAAUACAUAACAUAACCAGCAAUAUCUUCACCUAAUUGAGUGUAGAGUAACCCAGAAUUCUUCUUUUUCAGUUCCUCAUCAAAAGAUCGAGCUAAAGAUUCAUGUUUGGGGAAAAUCUUCUUCUCUAUUCUCACUAUAUCGUCAACUACCUUAACCCAAUUUGCUGAAUUUCUCUGCAAUUCAACUAUCUCUGCCAUUUCUUCGUUUUCAUAUUUCUCUGUUUUUGCUGCUGUAUUUAGGUUAACAAGAAUCUACUGGGGUCAUUAUUGGAAAGAAAAAUAGUUCCUCUGUUAUUUUAAAAGUUUUUACUUUAUUUUUUUUAACUAUAAAGUUCUUAUAUAUUUUUAACGUUUUAAUUAUUAGAAACUAUUAUGUACAUUGUUUUUAUUUUACAUGGUUUAUUAAUAUAUAUAGUAUAAAUUUGCAUUCAUGUAUUAAUUAACUUAUCAAUUAAUCAAUAGUAAAAAUUCUCUCUGAUUUUCUGAUUAUUUAUGGCCAGUUUUUUUUUGUAUGUGUGCGUCUCUAAGCUCGUAAGUGAAAGUAAAUCAAUUUUUUAAUUGUUAAUUUAUGCCCAACUUCUUUAUGUAUGUGUGCGUUUCUAAGCUCGUAAGUGAAAGUAAAUCGAGUCUCACGAUAUCAUCUGUCUUUGUCAUACUCGUCUGGUUGAACAAGGACUAAUACUAGUUGUUGAGCAAAAUUAAUUUAUAAAUACUCUUAACAAGGUGUGAUAUUAUUUGUUUUGGGUAAAGUCUUUGUAAGGCUUCACACUAUUAAGAGAUUCUACACUUUAUAUGUAAUUUUUCAAUCUUUUCAGCUAUCAAUGUGGGAUUUUAUUUACCCAACUAACAAUUUUGUUAUUUGUUCUUACAUUUUGGUGUUAGCUUUGGCCUUUGUGUACUCCAUCAUAGGUUGAGGAAAGGGAUCAUAUAUAAUUGGAAAAAUACAAAUCAGAAUGGUAUUUUUGUUAGUAAUCCAAGGGAUUGGUUUACUUUUGGACAUGUUAUUUUUUUGGUUCUACUUAAGGUUAGUAAGGUCAUUUCAAUAUUAUUUUCUUCCUACUUCAAUCAACAGCAACUUCUAUUUUUCCUUAUAUGACAACGCAAUUCAAUCUAGCUACGUUGUUAUGUUAACCAACCCCAAAAACAGGACACCAUAUCUAGAUUGAUAAGCUUAAGUAAGUUUCGAUAUGACUCAUUUAUACUUCAAUUAAUCUAAAGUAAAACUUAUCCAUAUGUAUGAUCCAGCCAAAUUAUUUUAUCAAUAUAAUCGAAAUAUUAAAAACAUAUUUAGUAAUUAUGGAUAUCAUAGGUAUAGAUAUGUAUAUAUAUUAUACUAAAAUAUACAAAACCUAUACAAUUAUGACUAUUUGUAAAUUAGAUUAAUCAAAGACAUUGAACUGUAAUUAUUCCAAUCUAUACUUUAAACCCUUUUCACUUCAAAGCACUAUCCCAAUUCUAAACAGUUUGAGACAUGGUAAAAAAAAAUAAUUGAUUUUUUUUUUUUUAAGAUGGGGUGUAGUUAGGUGGAAUUUUCUUGGUUUUGUUCAAAUAAGUCUGCCUUUUGAAGCAUAGGCAUACUUGUUUCAUCUUUAUAUAUAUAUAUAUAAUAAUGAUGUUCUGGAUAACUUUUACACCUUAACUUGAUUAAUUAUGUGAGAUAUCUGUCAUUUUUCAUAGCAAUAUUAUAUUUAACUAUAUUCGCCCAAACUAAAACAGGUAGAAAUAACAUUUGAAUCUGUCAAACUGCAAUAAUGAAUUAUAUAUGGUGGAAGAUUCUUUGGGGCCCAACUGGCCCCACAGCUAAUAUUUUAACGGACGUCCAUGAAAAGUUUUAACAAAAUCACGUCGAAAUUCUAGAUCACCAAAAAUUCAUGGACUAUAUAGCACACGAUAAUCAGCAAAAUGGGGGGGGGGGUUACUUGCUCAAGGGCUCGUCUGACCUUGAAAAUGGGCUGGUUUGCCCGUGGGGACCAAUUGGCUCUAUAACUAAGGUCUUAACGGACGUCCAUGAAAAGUUAUUGCAAAAAAUCACGUUGGAGUUCCAUAUCACCAAAAAUCCAUGGACUAUAGCACAUGAAAAUUGGCAAAAUAAAGGGUUUACCUACUCUGGGCUCGUUUGACCUUGAAAAUGGGUUGGUUUGCCCGUGGGAACCAGCCGGCUCCAUAGCUAAGGUUUUAACGGAAAACCAUGAAAUUUUUUGGCAAAAGUCACGUCGGAAUUGCGGAUCACCAAAAAUCCAUGGACUAUAGUACACGAAAAUCGGCAAAAUGGGGGGGUUUACCUACUCUGGGGAUUGUUUGACCUUGAAAAUUUCCCGAUUUGCCCGUGUGGACCAACUGGCACCACAGCUAAGGUUUUAAUGGACGACCAUGAAAUUUUUUGGCAAAAGUCACGUCGGAAUUGCGGAUCACCAAAAGUUCAUGGACUAUAGUACACGAAAAUUGACAAAAUAGGGGGUUUACCUACUCUGGGGAUCGUUUGACCUUGAAAAUUGUCCGGUUUGCCCGUGUGGACCAACUGGCUCUAUAGCUAAGGUCUUAACGGACGUAUACAGAAAAUUUUGGCAAAAAUCACGUCAAAAUUUCGGAUCACCAAAAAUGCAUGGUCUAUAACACACGAAAAUCGGUAAAAUGAGGGUUUACCUGCUCUGGGGAUCAUUUGACCUUGAAAAUGGGUCGGUUUACUCGUGGGGACCAACUGGCUCUAUGCUAAGGUCUUAACGGACGUCUAUGAAAUUUUUUAGCAAAAAUCACGUCGAAAUUUCGGAUCACCAAAAUCCUAUGGACUAUAGCACACAAAAAUCGGCAAAAUAGGGGGUUUACCUGCUCUAGGCUCGUUUGACCUUGAAAAUGGGCCGAUUUUCCCGUGGGGACCAACUGGCUCCAUAGCUAAGGACUUCACGGACGUCCUUGACAAAUUUUGGCAAAAAUCACGUCGGAAUUCCGUAUCACCAAAAAUUUACGGACCAUAGCACACGAAAAUAGGCAAAAUGGGGGGUUUACCUGCUCUGGGCUCAUUUGACCUUGAAAAUGGGCCGGUUUGCUCGUGGGGACCAACUGGCUGCAUAGCUAAGGUCUUAACGGAUGUCCAUGAAAAUUUUUGGUAAAAAUCACGUAGGAAUUCCGGAUCACAAAAAAUCCAUGGAUUAUAGCACAUGAAAAUCGGCAAAAUGGGGGGUUUUACCUGCUCUGGGGUUCAUUUAACCUUGAAAAUGGGCCAAUUUUCCCGUGGGGACCAACUGGCUCUAUAGGUAAGGCUUAAUGGACGUCCAUGAAUUUUUUUUGUAAAAAUCAUGUCAAAAUUCUGUAUCUCCAAAAAUCCAUGGACUAUAGCACACAAAAAUCAGCAAAAUGGGCGGUUUACCUGCUCUGGGAAUCGUUUGAACUUGAAAAUGGGCCGGUUUACCCAUGGGGAUCAACUGUCUUCAUAGCUAAGGUCUUAACGGACGUCUUUAAAAAUUUUGGCAAAAUUACGUCGAAAUUCCAGAUCAUCAAAAAUCCAUGGAUUAUAGCACAAGAAAAUGGGUAAAAUGGGUUGGUUUGCCCGUGGGGACCAACUGGCUCCAUAGCUAAGGUCUUAACGGACGUCCAUGAAAUUUUUUAGAAAAAAUCAUGUCGAAAUUCUGGAUCACCAAAAAUUGAUGGACUAGCACACAAAAAUUGGCAAAAUGGGGGGUUUACCUACUCUGGGGAUCGUUUGACCUUGUAACUGGGCCAAUUUUCCUGUGGGACCAACUGGCUCCAUAACUAAGGUCUUAACGGACGUCCAUGGAAAUUUUUGGAAAAAAUCACAUCAGAAUUCCGGAUCACCAAAAAUUCAUGGAUUAUAGCUCACGAAAAUUGGCAAAAUGGGGGGUUUACCUGCUCUUGGGCUCAUUUGACGUUGAAAAUGAGCCGGUUUGCUCGUGGGGACCAACUGGCUCCAUAGCUAAGGUCUUAACGGACGUCCAUAAAUUUUUUUGGCAAAAAUCACGUCGGAAUUCCGGAUCACAUUCAUGACUAUUUGUAAAUUAGAUUGAUCAAAGACAUUGAACUGUAAUUAUUCCAAUCUAUUCUUUAAACCUUUUUCACUUCAAAGUACUAUCCCAAUUCUAAACAGGUUGAGACCUAGUAAAAAAAAUGAUUUUUUUUAAAGAUGGGGUGUAGUUAGGUGGAAUUUUCUUGGUUUUGUUCAAAUAAGUCUGCCUUUUGAAGCAUCGGCUAUUCUUGUUUCAUCUUUAUUUUAUUUUUCAUAAUAAUGGUGUUCUGGAUAACUUUCACACCUUGACUUGAUUAAUUAUGUGAGAUAUUUAUCUGAUCAUUUUUCAUCAGCAAUAUUUAACUAUAUUCGCCUAAACUAAAACAGGUAGAAAUAACAUUUGAAUCUGUCAAACUUCAAUAAUGAAUUAUAUAUGGUAGAAGAUUCUUUGGGGCCAUUAUGCAAUGAUAGUGGAACAUGAGAAUAUUUUUAUGAUUGGUAAAAAUAUCAUGGGAAUGGCGAAAAACUAGCUUUGAUAAGAAGAAUAUGAUGCUUUAUAACAUUAUCAAGGGAACAAAAGUCAUUUUUAUAUAUUUGAAGAAAAGAAAGUUUUCACAUUACAAUAAUUGGGAUGCCUAUAAAUGUGUGGUUCAAAAUGAUAGUGACAAGCCACAUAUUAUAUUGAAGCAUUAAUUAAUCAUAGUAAAGAAAGUUCAAUGUUAUUAUUAGGGGCAAUUUGUGCAAAGUAGAUAUGACCUAAGUUGCUUGAACGCAAAGGUAAUGUUAUAAUGUUUGUGAAAAAUUGAUAGAUCAUUAAAUCAUUAAACCUAUUACCUAUAUAAGAUUUAGUGCUAAUUACAAUCAUUUCUAUGUAGUGUAAGUGAUGUUGGAUUAGGUGGAUAUCAACUUAUCAAAGUGGACACCAAAUUUUUUAAAUUGCUUUCUCUAGUGUUACACUAACUUUAAUAAGUGGAAAUCCUUAGACAAUUGUUGAAGAUAUCUAUCAUAUUUGAUCAAAUAAAACAUAAGUUAUCAAUCAUAGAAUCAGAUAUAUACCUUUAAAUUCACGGGAGCGUUUGACUAUGUUUCAUUGUGAAAUUUGAUUUUUCUUUUCAAGUAAAAAAAGAUAAAUUGAAAUUAGAUAUUGUUAUCAACUUGUAUACCACUAGUUCGAAAGGCAUAAUUUCUUAAACUGACAUUCAAACUUAGCCUCCACUUACAAGUAAUUACUUCAACUUUUUCAUUAUGUAUGCAUAUUUAGACACCUUAUAAACUCGACUCAUUUCCACUAUACCAGCUAAACUCUCCAACAUAUGUACAAAAUAAUCAUCUAGUCACCUUCAAAAUUUAUUCAUUACAUCAGCAUCGAAUGUAAUGAGAUACAGAGACGAGUUGAGUAUUUAGUAGACCGUUGAAACCAAGUUGAGGUGUCCAUACCUAUACAACAAUUAUCACAGGUGACAUGCUUUCAAAUAAUUUUGAAGUAUUAAAAAUAGAUGAUUUAUUAAAAUAAGAUAUUUCUCACCAUAAGCAAUUUUCAAUUCUUUCGCAUCAAACGCACCCAUAUUUAGAAUGUUCUAUACUAUCACUCUCCAUAGACGGCAGCCAUCAUGUCAAUCACCACCCACCAGCACUUGCUGUUGUUAACCUUGCCAAAUAGAUAAUGACAAGUUGGCAUAUGAGAUAGGUGGUCUACGCCUAUCAACAUGAGUUGUGGUGCAAUGGUGGAAUUGCUCAAUCCUUAAUUAGAAAUUUCAGGUUUGAGUCUUGGGUAUGAAGAAAAUUCUAUUGGAAGCGUCACUCUCAAAUGAGUCCUGUGCUGUACAAUUCAGAUUUAAUUAAGGCUUUAAUGCAGACUCCGAACAGUGAGCGUGAGAAAAAAAGAGAGGUGGCCUAUGCCUAUUUCUCUUUGAGAUGUUGAUGCCUUGAUUUUGAAUGUCUUGUUUUUCAAUCCUCGUGCUUAUAUCUUUGAAUAUUCAUUACUUUCUCUAGAUGUGAAAACUACUCUUUCCGUUUCAAUUUGAAUAUUCAGAUUAUAAAGAAUAUUUUUUUUAUAUUUUACGUAACUUUAAUCGAAUACCAUAUAAUUUAAAAGUUCGUUUUACUUUUUUAAAUCAAAAUCAAAUAAAUAAAUUAAAACGAAAGGAGUGAUGGCUGAGAUGUCCUGUAAAAUGGUAUUGGUCUCUUUAGUGGGAUUUUGUUAUUUUGAUUUUAAAUUGACACAAGAAGCUAAACAAGCUUUGUCUUCUUAAUGAUUGGAUUUGAUUCAUCUUUUCAAUUUCAAUUGAGUCUGUCUCAAAAUUCAUAAUGUUAACUAUAUAAAUCCAGGUGAUCAUAUAUUACAUUGAUCUAAGAUGUAUAUUCAUAUCAUAUAUCGCGUUACUAAAUAUAAUUACAUUGUAUGAACACGCGAAGAAGAUGAUCAGAACAAGAGAAGACAUGUUACUAAACAACAACAUAAGAAAAAACAAAUUCUGUUAAGUGAUUGAUCCGCGUGUGAUAGUUGUCUUCUUAACCUUGGACUAUUGCUUCCUGCUAGAUUAUAUGAACUUGAAUAUGUAUACAAAUUAGUAUUCAAUGAGUUCCCAAACAUUCGCGCAUAAAAAAUUUCCCCUGUUGUCGUUCCACCAGGACUUAGCAUAUGUUCUGUAUUUGUAUAAUUUCGAUGAUGAUCAUGAGAUUGUUGGUAUAAUGGAGGCAUAUUAUUAUUGGGUAUUACUCCGUGACUCCUACAUCUCGGAGUAGGAGGUCUUUGUGGUAUGACUAUACCAAGAUUCAGGGCCUUGCCUGCUGUUUUUGUAGCUUGACCGCGACCAUAGAGUGGAAUCAAUGUUUUUUGUGAGACUUCAGCUUUGCAAACAGGGCAUUUUGGCUGUUGAUUAUCGAUGUUCUCUGAUGAAAUGGUCUUAAUAUGUAUCCAUUUGUAGAUGCAAGGCCAACAAUAGAGGUGACCACAUAAUGUAACAACAGGAUCAUGUACAACAUCCAGGCAAAUGUUGCACUCGAAACCUCCAGGUGAAUUUUCUUCAAGUUUAUCAAGAUCAAUUGUCUUACAUUUUUCAAAGGAAAUAUCGCGUUGAUCAAAAAUAGUUUCUGGUAUUUGGUCUUGAAAAAUUUGUUCUAAGGCCAUAUUUGCUUCUUGGUAUUGAUUUAUUUUGGUAAUGGCAAGAUGAAUGGUUAGAAUUCAGGUUUUUAAUACAAUUAGAAGUGAGUAUUUAUAAGGACAAGAAUAGUAGUUUGCAAACAAUGAUUCUUAAGGUUGUCACUUGUCAACAUCACAUCAUGUUAAAGGGGCAUGGCCAAAAAGAAAAGGCCCUACACAUUAUUAAACAACACUAUAUCAUAUUACUCAACUCAGUUUUGAUUUAUGGGUACUGUUUGAUUUGAUAUAACAUUUAAUAAGAAAAUGAAAACUUUUAAAAUAUGUACUGUAUUAAAGAUAAAAAAUAAAUUUUAAAUUUUUAGAUCCUAGAAAUGAUAUUCUUUUUAUAUUAAGACUACAACAAAUGUCUUACAUAAAUUAAGACAGGUGAACUAUCAAACACAUCAUAAUUAAGUGAUUUAAUGAAGUCAAAAAUAAAUAUUAAUGGAUCAUGGUUAAGUGAGAGGAGUUUUGUGCAAACACGUCUUUUAUCUAUCUAUUUGAUUUAAACAAGCAUAAGUUUUAUCAUAUUAGAAAUAUGAUUAGGACCUUAUAUUAGGCCCCAUGAUAAGAAUCUUAAUCUAGAAAAUAACUUUUAGUCAAUAAAAAGUAGCACUAGUUGCGUACAAGGAGCUACCACUUGAUGACCUUCCACACAGCCACAUCCCAUAAGUUCAAUAGUUUUCACACUAUAAGAACUAGAUGUUUUUUUCCGAGUGAAUCAAUAAAAAUUUUAUGUUAUAAAACAUGAUUUUUUUCAUUUUGAUUUUAUUAAACUAAUUCACUAAGAAAACCCAUAACGAAACAUAAGUUCUCAUUGAAAUACUGGAAAUAGUCACUUGGAAAUUUAUGAGUUUUAGGAAAUUAUGCAUCAAAACUUAGAAAGACGCGGCUCAUAUAGAAAUUUGUUGUUAAAUCAUAAUAUAUACUUUUACAUCUGAAUAUCUUUAUUGAUUUGGUUAAAAUUAUAAUUAAAAAAAUUACAAUACAAUAUAUAUAGAUUCACAUAAAUUUAAUACUGUAAGUUCAAUUAUUAUUAUGAUAUAUUAAUCUAAAAUUAUUAUAGAAGCUUCUAAACUCUAAAUUCAGAUCCAACUAAGGAGUGAAUAUACAUAGUGGGGGUCUGGGGGAUGGGAGAAAACAUAUGGACGGUGUGACAAAUAAAUAAAAGAAAUACUCCGUCCAUUCCAUUUGACUUAGUAUUGUUUGACUUAAUACGAUGUAUAAGAGAAAAAAAAGAUUUUAGAAAAUUAUAGGCUAAAACAAUUUUUAUAUAUUUAUAUAAUUGUAAAUCAUUUCAUUAAUUAAGGGUAGAUGGAGAAUUUUAAGUUUAAUUAUUUUCAAUUACAAUAAAAUGACAUUUUUAAAGACGGAUUAUGAGAAUAGAGUGCCACGUAAUAUAAAACGAGAAAAUACUACUCCCUCCUUCCCAUUUUAUAUGUUACCUUUUUACUUUACAUUUACAUUAAGAAAUAAUGUAACUUUACCCUUCUACCCUUAUUUAAUGUUUUCUUAAGUUAACUUUAUAACUCCCUCCGUCCCAUUUUAUAUGUCAUCUCUUUCUAUAAAUAGUUGGACCACAAUACUUGUCAUUUUAUAAAAUUUAUGUAUAAAUUACCAUAUUUUACCUAUUAUAUCCUUGAUAGAGUAGUUAAUUAAUCUUGAAAAUAUAUUCAUCAUUUAUUAUAAAUUGACUUAAGAAAAUAUUAAAUAAGAAUAGAAAGAUAAAAUUACAUCAUUCUUCAACAAGUGGUAUCAGAGCCAGGUUAAUAAGAGCGAGGUAGUAACUCAAAAGAGAUCCUACAAGCUACCGUCGGAGGCUACAAAUCGCGAGGCACUAAUUAAUGAUGGAUUUUGCAAGCACUCUCAAUAGCGUUGAGANNNNNNNNNNNNNNNNNNNNNNNNNNNNNNNNNNNNNNNNNNNNNNNNNNNNNNNNNNNNNNNNNNNNNNNNNNNNNNNNNNNNNNNNNNNNNNNNNNNNNNNNNNNNNNNNNNNNNNNNNNNNNNNNNNNNNNNNNNNNNNNNNNNNNNNNNNNNNNNNNNNNNNNNNNNNNNNNNNNNNNNNNNNNNNNNNNNNNNNNNNNNNNNNNNNNNNNNNNNNNNNNNNNNNNNNNNNNNNNNNNNNNNNNNNNNNNNNNNNNNNNNNNNNNNNNNNNNNNNNNNNNNNNNNNNNNNNNNNNNNNNNNNNNNNNNNNNNNNNNNNNNNNNNNNNNNNNNNNNNNNNNNNNNNNNNNNNNNNNNNNNNNNNNNNNNNNNNNNNNNNNNNNNNNNNNNNNNNNNNNNNNNNNNNNNNNNNNNNNNNNNNNNNNNNNNNNNNNNNNNNNNNNNNNNNNNNNNNNNNNNNNNNNNNNNNNNNNNNNNNNNNNNNNNNNNNNNNNNNNNNNNNNNNNNNNNNNNNNNNNNNNNNNNNNNNNNNNNNNNNNNNNNNNNNNNNNNNNNNNNNNNNNNNNNNNNNNNNNNNNNNNNNNNNNNNNNNNNNNNNNNNNNNNNNNNNNNNNNNNNNNNNNNNNNNNNNNNNNNNNNNNNNNNNNNNNNNNNNNNNNNNNNNNNNNNNNNNNNNNNNNNNNNNNNNNNNNNNNNNNNNNNNNNNNNNNNNNNNNNNNNNNNNNNNNNNNNNNNNNNNNNNNNNNNNNNNNNNNNNNNNNNNNNNNNNNNNNNNNNNNNNNNNNNNNNNNNNNNNNNNNNNNNNNNNNNNNNNNNNNNNNNNNNNNNNNNNNNNNNNNNNNNNNNNNNNNNNNNNNNNNNNNNNNNNNNNNNNNNNNNNNNNNNNNNNNNNNNNNNNNNNNNNNNNNNNNNNNNNNNNNNNNNNNNNNNNNNNNNNNNNNNNNNNNNNNNNNNNNNNNNNNNNNNNNNNNNNNNNNNNNNNNNNNNNNNNNNNNNNNNNNNNNNNNNNNNNNNNNNNNNNNNNNNNNNNNNNNNNNNNNNNNNNNNNNNNNNNNNNNNNNNNNNNNNNNNNNNNNNNNNNNNNNNNNNNNNNNNNNNNNNNNNNNNNNNNNNNNNNNNNNNNNNNNNNNNNNNNNNNNNNNNNNNNNNNNNNNNNNNNNNNNNNNNNNNNNNNNNNNNNNNNNNNNNNNNNNNNNNNNNNNNNNNNNNNNNNNNNNNNNNNNNNNNNNNNNNNNNNNNNNNNNNNNNNNNNNNNNNNNNNNNNNNNNNNNNNNNNNNNNNNNNNNNNNNNNNNNNNNNNNNNNNNNNNNNNNNNNNNNNNNNNNNNNNNNNNNNNNNNNNNNNNNNNNNNNNNNNNNNNNNNNNNNNNNNNNNNNNNNNNNNNNNNNNNNNNNNNNNNNNNNNNNNNNNNNNNNNNNNNNNNNNNNNNNNNNNNNNNNNNNNNNNNNNNNNNNNNNNNNNNNNNNNNNNNNNNNNNNNNNNNNNNNNNNAAGCUUGAGAUAAGAGGAGACGUUAUAUGUGCUGGAUGUCAAUAUGGGAAAGCACAUCAACUUCCCUAUGGAGAAUCAAAGUAUCAAGCGNNNNNNNNNNNNNNNNNNNNNNNNNNNNNNNNNNNNNNNNNNNNNNNNNNNNNNNNNNNNNNNNNNNNNNNNGACCAGUGAAGCAGUCCUCCAUCAGCGGUUACCGUUACAUGGUAACAUUCAGUGAUGACUUCUCAAGGUACGUAUGGAUUUACUUCAUAAAAGAGAAAUUUGAAGUAUUUGAGAAGUUUAAAGAGUUUCAAUAUACUGUGGAGAAUGAUAUUGGAAGAAAAAUCAAAUGUCUCCGUACGGACAAUGGGGGAGAAUACACGUCACGAGAGUUCAAUGAAUAUCUUAAAGAGAAGUUGAUAAGACGACAACUAACUUGUCCAAAUACACCACAACAAAAUGGAGUGGCUGAAAGAAAAAAUAGACAUCUGGCGGAGAUAUGCAGAAGUAUGUUGCAUAGUAUGAAUGUACCAGCAAGGUUUUGGGCAGAAUGCAUGAAGACUGUUGUCCACAUCAUCAACAGGCUGCCGCAGGCAAGAUUGAGAUUUAUCUCACCAUUUGAGAAACUUAAAAAAAUAGAUUCCUACUGUAAGCCACUUUCGAGUUUUUGGUUGUGUGUGCUAUGUGUUCGUGCCAGAUCAUCUCCGCAACAAGUUUGAUAAGAAAGCUGUUCGUUGCAUCUUUGUUGGAUACGAUGAACAAAGAAAAGGAUGGAAGUGUUGUGACCCUACCACAAAUCGGACAUAUGUGUCAAGAAAUGUGGUAUUUGAUGAAGCAUCAUCUUGGUGGUCCAAAGAAGUCUCCCUGCCAGACUCAAUAGCUCUUGAGCAAAAGCUGCAAGAUAAGCUCAAUGAAGUAGAACAAGGGAACAAGAUAGACUCUAACCAGGAGGUAUCUCCACAAAAGGAAAAGAAAAGCUUACCACAAACUGGAGCUUGUGAAACACCAGAUGAGUUGCAAGAAGAAGUCCAAGAAGAGUCACAAUCGCAACUGAGGAGGUCUACACGACUGAAGCGUCCAAACAUCAAGUACAUAGAUGCAGCAUUAACCGAGGUGGUUAACAUCAAAGAGGCUGCUACCUUUGAAGAAGCUUCAAAGAGUAGGGAUCGGAAUAAUCCGACGAAGGUGGAGAUCCCCAAAGGGUAUGGACGUUAUGAUGCUUGCAAAGUUUCAGGAAUCGCUCACAAAAGACGCAAAGAAAAAAUUAAGUUGGUGUUGAGGGGGAGUGUUAAGAAUUCAUCACCAACUUAAUUCUUUACUUAAGAUAAAUCAAGAAAAAUCUAGAAUAUUCCGGAGGUGUAGAGAAUUGAAGGAAGAUCUCUAGAAUGAGUAUUCUAGAAAGAAUAGUCUAGAAAUGUUCUAGAAAGAAUAGUUCUAGAAAAAGAUAGUUAGGAAUAUUCUAGAAUAGAGUAGUAUGUAUCUCUCUAGAUUCUUCCAUCACCACCUAUAAAUAGAGGUGGUCCAUUUGAGUUGUAAGCAACCAAGCAAGAAACCAAGCAAGAAAUAAGAGAGCAAACAAGAGUGAGUGCUUAAGUCAAAUAGUGUUGCUGAAGCAAGCAACAAGUGUGAUCAAGAUUGUAAGACCGAAGCGGGUCCUUACUUUGAUAUAAUAAAAUUCAAGUUGUGAGAAAUCGAUUGUGCCCGUCGUCUCCAAAACAAUAAUAUUCAACACUCAUCCCCAAUUCUAGAGACUAAGUUUCUCAUCUUCAUUCUUAUCUCUAUCCUUACUUGUUAUUUCAAUAUUUCCAUUGUAAUUAGAUAGUUUGAUUAUUCCAAUUAGAAUAUUAAAGUUGUAAUAGUGUUCCAGUGCUCUUAUUAAUAGUGUGAGAAUUUUGGUUUGUUACAUCAGACGUUCUCUUUUCGAAUAAUUGAACGUCUCAUAUUAUUUGCUAAUGAAAAAUAUCAUGAGUAGGACCCAAAAAGAUAGUAGUACCAGAUAACAAACAAAAAAAUACUGUACAGUCUAAAAAUAAGUAUAGAAUAGCUUGAACUUUUGGGCCGUUGUAUAAAACACCCAGAAAGGGAGACAGGGGAGUCACUGGUCCACUUAAUUAUUACAUGUAGUAAAAUUAUUAGUUAUGUACUAGCAAUACUGGAAGUAUUAUUUCAUGGCAUAUAUUGGUGACUAAGAUAAGUGAUAAGCAUAAUAAAUAAUUUAGAAGUAGGUGGAUUCGAGUCAUCAACGAGCUCCCGGGGAGGAAUGAAAAAACUCUUAAUAAUAACUACAACAUGGAGUGGCCACUGCUAGCAUAGGUGAUAUCCUACGAAUAAUGAUGCCACUGCCUUCCGUCAUAUCCAAAUCCUCCGGUUUUAACACUUCUGGUAAUGCUAAAUUGAACUUGUGCACAAUCCUUGCUAAUGCUAGCUCAAUUACCACAAUAGCAAAACCAGUUCCUGGGCAGCCCCUUCUCCUAAAAUUGUCAACUUUUUAUAUUUUGGCUUACUUGGAAGCAAGUCUAUCCUCUCCUAUCCAAUCAAUUAGGGUGGCCAUUAAUCAGAUAUUAUUAGGCUAAAGAUAACAUAUUGCUCCCUCCGUUUUUAAUUAUUUAUCCAUUUUUUUAGUUAUUCCUAAUUACUUGUCUAUUUUGACAAAUCAAGAAAGAAUAAUUUUUUUUACCUAUUAUACCGUCAAUUUAUUACUUUGAAAAAAGUAGAACUUUUUGAAAAUCUUGAGUUUUUAAUUCAUCCACUUCAUAAUUAAUAUGGGUAAAAUGGUAAACUCACUAUUUCAAUAAUUGUUUUCUUAAUAAGUGUGCCAAUUUAAAAAUGGAUAAGUAAUUAGGGAUAGAGAAAGUAUAUCGAAAUAAUAUAAUCAGAUAUUAUGCUAAAGAUGAUUAACAAAACUUUGAACAAUUAUAAAUAAGAUAGCAAAAAAAUCGAUUAGAUAAUACUUAGCAAAUUAACACGGUUCAACGAUUAGUGAUGGAAUCUGAAUAUGAUUCGGGAUUUUCACUAUUAAUGAAAUUCAAAAGGCAUAAUACAUAAAUGUGCCCUUUAACUUGACUUCAUUUUAUGUUUAUGUCGUUCAAUUUUGGGUAUGCACAUAAACUUGUAUAAAGUUGAACAACUAGCCACAUGAGUUCUACACGACACAAUACAUUUAAGACACCACGUAGGAUAAAAAAUGACAUGUAGGAUACCAUAUAGGACAUGUGUGUCUGUUUCUUCAACUUUAUACAAAUUUAAAUGUCUACUUGUGCACACCCGAAGUUGAAGGGCAUAAAUGUGAUUUGAAGCCAAGUUAAAUGGUAUAUUUAUGUAUUAUGCCUAUUCAAAAUAUGAAUAAGUAAACAUACAAAUUAGCUGACUACAAUAAUACAAAGAUAAAAAAACAAUUUUAAUUAUAUGUAUAAAUAGUAUAAUUUUCCAUCAAAGGUGGUUCAUUUGAUUCCUCACUUCUUUCCCUCAUUUAAAACUAUGCAAUAUGAGACUUUCAUGUCACAUGGAAUCCUUCUCUUUUUUUUUUUUGGAAAUCUUAAUAGCUCAGUUAACUAACUGACUAUUUGAAUUCUCGAUUCCCCAUACUGUAAUCCUCUACCCCAAUUUUUUUCAUUACCUUCCUCACAUAUGUAUAAGACCGAAUCCAAAGAACUAAGAUGAGAGAAUUUUGGGAGAGCCGCCACUCCAACUACUGCCAUGUAUUAUCCAUACUAGAUCUGACCAUCUGUCCAUCCUACCCUCCUCUACGUUCUUGACAACCCAUUUUUGUCUUAGUCAAGUCUUUUAGUGGCACAUUUUGACCUUCUUUUCCAUUACUUAGAAAAAGUGAGCUAUUAUUCAGAUACAAAAUACUAUCAUUAUCGCCUAGAAAAUUAGACAUUCAACCCGUAAUCACAAUGAUCCAAUUACAAAAGCUCUGAACCCCCUAGGUCUAGACUGGCUCUGGCCCCUGGUUUUAUCACUUGACCUUCACAUGAGUAAACUCGUUGAUAUAGAGGAUUACAGUAUCGAUUUCUUUAAAAGAAAAAAACCUUAAUUUAUAAAAGUUCAAAAGAUUUUAAUUCAAUGUUUGUAAGUAAAAAAACAUAUUUCAUAAAACGGUUGCAAAUCACAUCGAAUAAGUUCCAUUGAUUGGUGUAUGGUUCUCAUAAGGGAAGUAACAGCAGCAUAAGCCAUAUAUCCAAAAAAUAGGACUAUCUCUCACUCUCAGUAUGAAAAUGGACAAAUUAAUUGCCACAAGUUAUGAAAAUGGCUAGUCCUCAGAACACCUUAACUACUUGCUGCAGAAUAAAAAAAAGACGCAAAAAAUGGAAAAUAAUAUGUUAGAUGUCCCAUAAUUAAGGAACAAGAGAACAUUAUAGUAAGAAUGAGCAUGCAGGUAUAAGAACUUACUCAUUAUUGCGGCAAGAAGCAACUUCUUUCUCAAAGUCAUCAUCAUCAUCAUCUUCAUCUGUUGUUACAGUAUCAAAUACCAAUUUCUCGAGCUGAUAUAAGUAGCGAAAAUCAUACAGGUCCUUGUGAUUGCGAAAGUCCUCUGGGACGCCAAAUACUUUCAACUUCUUUAAAUUGGGAAAUAGUCUAAAAAAAGACCCUGUACAAUACCAAGGAUUCAAUUGAUUGAGGCAUUGCAAACUUUUCAAAACCAAUCUGUUCUCUGUAGGCUCAUGACUCUGCAAGUAAUUCCAGCCCAUACACAGCUUCCUCAAUUGUGGCAUUGUCAAAAUUUCCGAUGGUAAUAUGAAAGGAUAAGCACAAUCACGAAACGGAAAGUUAAACUUAAAAGUUUGUAGAUAGCAUAGGCUUGAUAUCGAUAGAGGAAUGUCUAUUAUUGAUGAGGGAACAGCUUUUAACGAUCCUCGAUACUGCUUUAAGCAAGGAUAAAAACACAAAGAUAGGUAUCUCAAAUGAAUUAGAGAAAGUACUCCACUGGGAAAAAUUGGGUAUAUAUUCAAACCAAGAUCUAGUACUCUUACUAGCUUGAAAGACAAUUCCAGUGUGAAGCAUUUCAAUCCACCCAACAUGAUAAUAGAAUGAGCCUCACUGUUACGACACCAAGCCAAUUCUUCCUUCUUAUAGAUACUGAUCCGACUUCGACUCUUAAAGGAACACUGCAUGGAUUGUGCACAUGAAUUUUGAUCACUCUUUCCUCUGAUAACAUUCACAAAAUUCAUGUUUCGAGCUUCCCUCAAACAGAGUUCACGGAUCACAUCAUGCAUUCCACAUCUCUCUAUUUCCCCAUCAAAACUCAAAUUGUGGAUAGAAAUUAGACUUCUAUCUACAAGUUCGUUUAUACAUGUUUCUGCCACCUCUUCUAUGCUUUUUCCUUCUUCUUCAUUCAAAAACCCCUCUACGGCCCAUAACUCAACAAGUGCAUUUACAUAAAUCCGUUCAUCCUCUGCGAAAAUUGCAAAAUACAGAAAACACGGUUUUAGGUGAGAAGGCAAGUGAUGGUAACUCAAAGCCAACACUCUCAUGCAUUUUGCUUCAAGAUCUCUGCUUACCACCGAACUUACAUUCUCCGCAACAUUUUGCCACUCAUCCAAUGUUUUACUGAUUUUGGAGAGAAGUCCAGCAAUCAAAGUAAUUUCUAGAGGUAACCCUCCACAUUUUAAUGCAAUUUGUUUCCCAAUAUUUUCAAAUUCAGGAGAAUAAGAACCUUCUUUUUCAAAGAUCUUUUUGUGUAGUAAAUUCCAACUUUCGUCAAAAUUCAUGAGGCGCAUNNNNNNNNNNNNNNNNNNNNNNNNNNNNNNNNNNNNNNNNNNNNNNNNNNNNNNNNNNNNNNNNNNNNNNNNNNNNNNNNNNNNNNNNNNNNNNNNNNNNNNNNNNNNNNNNNNNNNNNNNNNNNNNNNNNNNNNNNNNNNNNNNNNNNNNNNNNNNNNNNNNNNNNNNNNNNNNNNNNNNNNNNNNNNNNNNNNNNNNNNNNNNNNNNNNNNNNNNNNNNNNNNNNNNNNNNNNNNNNNNNNNNNNNNNNNNNNNNNNNNNNNNNNNNNNNNNNNNNNNNNNNNNNNNNNNNNNNNNNNNNNNNNNNNNNNNNNNNNNNNNNNNNCAUGUUCAGGUAAACUGACAAGUGAGCUAGUUUGUGGUUUUAGAUCUUUCAUGCUGUCCGAUGCUGCCAUCCACUGUUUCACGGUGGAAUCAAUGUAUUCUAGUGCUUGUUCCAAGACGAAAAAAAUCUCCCACAUAGCCCUGCUUCUUUCCUCCAAAUUCUGUGCUAAAAAAACAUUUCUUGAUUCCGAGUCAACCAUAUCUUCUGUUGUGUAUGCUACCUCUGCGAUUUCAACUUCCAAGAUUGUUAACCCCUCAUGAUCGCCCAUUAUAUUGCAGGAUUUCUCCAGAAUAGCUCUCAAAGAUUUGAGCUUUUCAUAAAACGGUUGCAAAUCACAUCCAGUAAGUUCCAUUGAUUGAUGUAUGGUUCUCAUAAGGGAAGUAACAGCAGCAUAAGCCAUAUAUCCAAAAAAUAGAAAUAUCUCUCAGUAUGAAAAUGGACAAAUUGCCACAAGUUAUGUAAUUUUUCAGUUUUUAAGAAAACAGAAAAUGCAAAGUUCUUUCUUUUACUAGCUAUUUCCAUCACAUUUCCAGCUAGGUCCACCAACCUUAUCAUCAUGUAGACAAAAGCAGAGACCAAAGUUAAAAAAAAGUAGAAAAAUUUGUGAUCAUUCAUUAUUAGACCGUACACAUAUCUAUUCAUGAAUAUAAGUAUGCUUCUUACAUACAAGAGAUUGAUGAUUUUAAUUACAUUGAAAGCAACUUAGUAGAAUUUUCCAAAUCAAAGAGAGAAAUAUUAAGAUCCAAGUAGGAAUUUCUCUAUUCCUAGUUCGAUUCAAUUAACCAAGCAUAAAUAUCUCUUAAUAUACAUGAGAAGUUUAGACUCUAAAAGUCAAAUCAACAAAAUAUUUAUGGGCUAACACAUGAAAAACUAUUGAGAAAAUCGCCUAAUUUCUGUAAAUUGGCCCUUAAAUCUCCAAAAUGAACUCUAAAAAUUGUCAGACUGUACGUAUUGCUCCCCAACUCCCUACUGAGGGUUCUGUAAAGAUUUCGAUUAGAAUUCGUCCGUAAGUCAUAUCACCAAUAUAUUAAUGACUAACACACACGAAAAACUGAGAAAAUUGUCUAAUUUCUUGAAAUUGGCCCCUAAAUGCCUAAAAUGGACUCUAAAAGUUGUGAGACUGUACGUACUGCUCCCCCGACUCCCUACAGAGGGUUUCGUAAAUGUGUAGCAAAGAAAUCGUCUGGAAGUCAUAUCACUAUAAUAUUAAUGGGCUAACACACACAAACCACUGAGAAAGUCGCGUAUUCCUGUAAAUUGGCCCCUAAAUGCCCAAAAUGAACUCUAAAAUUGUGAGACUAUGUACUGCUCCACUAACUCCCUAUGGAGGGUUCCGUAAAGAUUUCACAAAGAAAUUAUUCGGAAGACAUAUCACCAAAAUAUUUAUGGGCUAAUACAUUUUUAUUUGUCCAUUUGAUUUGACAUAUCUUUCAAGUACUUUGAUCUGGUUAUACUUUUUUUUUAUUGCUAAAAAUAAAUAUCCACUUUUACUUGUUCAUUCUACAAAACAAAGACAAUAUUUUAUUGCUUGAUUCAGAUAUAAAAUUUGAGUAGGCUAAUUUACAAACCAUCUGUAGUCAUCCUGCCCCUAUGCUAUAACAUUUGAAAGAAAGAGGUCAUCAUCAUCAUAUUCAUCAUCGUUGUCAUCUUCAUCAUCAUCUUCAUCAUCGUUGUCAUCUUCAUCAUCAUCUUCAUCUUCUUCAUCAUUAUCAUCAUCAUCAUCAUGAUCGUCAUCGUCACUUGUUUCCUCACUGUUGAAAAAGCCAGCAACAAAAGAUGAAAAAUGAAAUGUUAUGCAAGUAUAACAAGUUACACAAUUACUAUAUUGGAAGGAUUUAAAUCAUAUACAAUGACAACGUAUGAACUUUUACACUAUAGGUGCCAUUUAACUGCUUAUUAAAGCAAUUUAUAAUUAUUUUAUUACUAGUUCUGGACACGUGCUUUGCAUGUGUAUAUUACACGUUUAGUCACGAUUGUAAGAGGGUGUACACCAGGAUCAUUCGAAGAGCAAAGUCGUGUGAGCCUUACAGAUAUUCUUGACGUACUCCUAUUAAAAUCUGUAUCAUAUUCGUAACUUUUUGAAUGAGGUUCACCUUUUUCCUCAUUGUACUUUGUACAUGGAUGUUGUCCAUCACAAUAUCCCCUUUUUCAAAUUUCAUAGCUGAACUACUAGGUGUACGAGUUCCUACCAGAACUACUACCAACUAUUUAUCAAAACACACAUCAACUAUAUAUGAGUUGUUCCCUUUUACUAGUGGUGACAAAUAGGUGGAUUUGGACGGGACUGAAAAUGGAUUGAGCAACAUGGUCGUAACUCACUUAAUCUCUUAAAGCCAGAAAACUUUAAAGAGUUAAUUGAAAUAAACUUAAUGACUAUCCUACUUGAAGUAUCACCGUCGUUCAGGUAAGAAAAAGGAAGUAUAUCAAGGAAGAAGAUGUCUUACAAAGCCUGAUGGAUAUGGACCUCGAUAGAACCUCCAUAGUUGUCUUGAAUGUCCUGUUGAAUCUGCUUUGCGGAAUUCCCAACAGAUUCUGGGCAGUUUCUUAUAUAGAUUAGAGCAAGUGUGGUUAUAUCUGCAAAAUCUUGAGGGAUUGAGUCCAAAAACCUGCAACUAUCAAGAAAUAGUCGUUCAAGGCACGGAAAGUGAUCACAACUAGCUCUCCAGUACUGAAUAUGUGAUCUUUUAAGUAACAAGAACUUCAAAAAAGGAAACCCUUCCUCAGCUACUUCCCACUCCCUGCCUCUGCAUACACCCUGUGUUAGUUCAAGAAGUUCAAGUUUGGGCAAUUUUCCGACAACAAUGCUUAAAUCCUUCCAUGACAAGAAGAAAUUUCCUGUAAAAGUUAAAUUCUUAAGGUUUCGUGGAAAAGCAUCUGGAGGAGGUAAGAUCAAAGAUGGAACAACUUCUACAACAAGUGGAUUCCUUGUCUGAAAACACAUUCUCCUCUCCAAAAAGUAAGCAUUAUUUUGAGGAGGAAGACAAAAUGCUAGUUCCUCGAGAUGAUCUAAGUAGCGAAAAUCAUAGAGGUCUUUGUGACUAUGGAAGUCUUGUGGGAUGCCACGUACUUGCAACUCCUUUAAAUUGGGAAAUAGUCUAAAGAAAGAUGCAGUACAAUAGCUAGGAUUCCAUCCAAACAGAGAAUGUAAAUUUUUCAUAACCAAACUUUUCUCUGUAAGCUCAUGAUAUCGCAAGUAAUUCCGAUCCAAAUGAAGGUGCCUCAACUGUGGCAUUGUCAAAAUAUCUGAUGGUAAUAUCAAAGCAUGUUUACGAAGAUUAAUGACGAGUGGAAGGUAAAGUACCAAACUUUGCAGAUAGCAUAGGUUUGAUAUGGAUGUAGGAAUGUCUACUCUUGAUGAGAGAACAUCUUCUUCGGAUCCUAGAUAUUGCUCAACGUUAGGAUAAAUACGCAAAGCUAGGUGUCUUAAGUGAAUCAAAUAAAGUAUUUCACGGGGAAAAGUUAGACAGAUAUUAUCAGCAAGAUCUAGAACUCUUACUAGCUUGAACGGCAAGUACUCCCUCAUGCAACAUCGGAAUCUACCAAAUAAGAUAACAGAAUGAGCUUCACUGUUAAGGCACCUAACAUACUCUUUCUUAUUAUGGAUGCUGAUUCGACUUCGACUCUUAGACAAACACUGCAUGGAUUUCACAUAUGAAUUUUGAUCAUUCUUUCUUCUGAGAACAUUCACAAAAUUCAUGUUACGAGCUUCCAUCAAACAGAGUUCACGAGUCAUAUCAUGAAUUCCACAACACUUAAUUUUUCCAUCAAAAGUAGUACUUUUAAUGGAAAUUAAACUUCUAUCAAUAAGAUCUUGUAGGUACUUUUCUGCCACUUCUUCUAUGCUUUUCAUCUCUUCUACCUUCAAAAAUCCCUCUGUUUCCCACAAUAUCAUAAGUUUAUUGACAAAAAUCAGUUUAUCCUCUGGGAAGAUUGCGAAAUAUAAAAAGCAUGGUUUUAGGUGGUGAGGCAAGUAAUGGUAACUCAUUGCCAACACCCUCAUGCAUUGGACACCAACAUCUGUGCUUACUGCUGAACUUACAUUUUCAGCAACACUUUGCCACUCACUCAAUGCUUUGUCAAUUUUAGUGAGAAGUCCCGCGAUCACAACAAUUGCUAGAGGCAAUCCUCCGCAUUUCAAUGCAAUUUGCUUUCCAAGUUGUUCAUAUUCAGGGGAGAAAGAGUCUUUCGUAAAGACUUUUUCAUAUAAUAAAUUCCAACUUUCGUCAAAAUUCAUGAGGCGCAUGUGAUGAGGAAGCUUACCUGAGCUAGCAUAUUCAGCCACUUCCACAUUCCGAGUAGUCAAGAGUAUUCGGCUUCCAUUAUGAAAGUCUGGGAAACAUAUUUGUAUAUCAUCCCAAGCUUUUGUAGUCCAUAUGUCAUCAAUGACUACCAAAUAUCUCUUGCCUUUUAGAAGCUUUUGCAGUCGAUCUGCUAGUUGCCCGUCAUGUAGCUGAUCAUAAGGUUUAUCACUUAUACAAGAAAGAAGGUCUAGGAAAACAUUUCUCACACAAUACUCUUGUGAAACAGUAGCUUUUGCACGUAUGUCAAAGCGAUACAUCAUGCAUGGAUCGUUGUAGAGUUUUGUUGCCAAAGUUGUCUUGCCAAUGCCUCCCAUACCUACAAUUGAUACAACUUCUAGUUCUCUUUCUCCUCUAGCAAGUUGAUCCAGCAUCAUCUUGAAUUCAUUUUCAUAGCCAACCAUUAUAACCUCGGACCGCUCAACAGCAAGUUCAGGUAUCUUGGAUAGACAGAAAUUUUGUGCUUUGAAAUCUUUAAUGUUGUUGUACCAGUCCCAUAUUGCCAACCACUGCAUCAUGAAGGAAUCAAUACAUUCUACCUCUUGUUCCAAGGAACAACAGAGUUCCCAGAAAGCUUUGCUUCGUGUAAUUACAGUUUCUGCAGAAGAAACUUUUCUUGAUUUCGAAUCAACCAUGUCUUCUGCUUUGAAUGCUACCUCCGUGAUUUCAACUUCCAAGGUUGUUAACCCCUCAUGAUCGCCCGUUAUAUUGCAGGAUUUCUCUAGAAUAGCUCUCAAAGAUUCGAGCUUUUCAUAAAACGGUUGCAAAUCACAUCCAUUAAGUUCCAUUGAUUGGUGUAUGGUUCUCAUAAGGGAAGUAACAGCAGCAUAAGCCAUAUAUCCAAAAAAUAGGAAUCUCUCACUCUCAGUAUGAAAAUGGACAAAUUAAUUGCCACAAGUUAUGUAAUCUUUCUUUUACUAACUAUUUCCAUCACAUUUCUAGCUAGGUCCACUAACAGGAUAAAGUAGAAAGAUGUGAGGUCACUAACCUUAUCAUCAUGAAGACAAAAGAAGAGACCAAAGUUAAAAAAAAAAAAAGACGAAAAAGUAGAAAAAAUUGUGAUCAUUCAUUAUUAGACCCUACACUAAUCUCUUCAGAAAAAUAAAAUAAAAUUUUAGUUUAAAUAAAGGAAUUCAAGCUGUAUAUUGAUAACGUCCAAUUCAAAUUCAAGUGUAGUACGGUCUAGCAAUAAUAAACUCAACAAAAGUUGGAGUCGAGGAGUACGCUUGUGUCAAGGUGACAGAGAGUGUGCGAAUUUGCUAACAAACAAAAGGUCUUUCUUUUAGCUAGGUCCAUAAUCCAUGUAGUGCUCUAUACUCUCUAGUCUCUAUCAACCAGCUCAAGUUUAAGGGUGUGUUUGGUAUGGAGGAAACAUUUUCUCUAGAAUAGGGAGAGAUUUGUGCAUAAACAAGGAAGAAUCUCUCAGUAUAACAGUGAAUGGGUAUUUUUUUAAGAUUUGCUUCUUUUGUGUAUGACUUUUGUAAGAAACAUUCUGGUAAAAGUUAAAAAAAAUGAUCUUGUGGAAUAGCCACAGUGAAUUCCUUAAUAUUCGAGUAGAAAAAGCCAGAGAGGAUAACAUUGCUAUUUGUACACUUAUCGUGACACGAGUAGUCUCUUAAAUAUUACACCUUUCUACUGAUGUUGCUGAUGCCACUGGAUUUAGCCUUCCGUCUUCCUUUGCAAGGUAGAUCGAGGACUCCCAAGAAAGGAAACACAAGUUACUGGAGUCUGUUCUGGCCUAUACAGUAUGUAUGUACAUAAAAUUUGGAGUAUCUAAAAACCACUGACAAAUGGCUAUACGAAAGAUCAUAUACAAUUAAAUUACAAGCCAUUUGCAAUCAUCCUGCCCCUUUAUGCAGAAUCUUUUCAAAGAAAAUGAAAACGAACAAAACAAACACUCACACAUUUGGCUUCUGAUUUGACAUUUAUUUCAGAGAACUGGCUAGUCGCUGCAGGAAAAAAAAAGACGCAAAAAAUGGAAAAUAAUAUGUUAGAUGUCCCAUAAUUAAGGAACAAGAGAACAUUAUAGCAAGAAUGAGCAUGCAGGUAUAAGAACUUACACAUUAUUGCGGCAAGAAGCAACUUCUUUCUCAAAGUCAUCAUCAUCAUCUUCAUCUGUUGUUACACUAUCGAAAAUGCUAGCUACAAAAGAUGAAAAAUGAAAUGUUACACUUCCCAAAAUCAAGAAUGAGCAUGCAAGUAUAACAAGUUACACAAUAUUGGAAGGAUUCGAAUCAAUCACAAUGACAGCAUCAAGAACUUUUGUUGAAUUGGUGUAAUUUGACUUACUAAAGCUAUUAUCCAGAUUAUUAUCGAGUUUACUAUAAUGAUGAGUUAAAUAUUGUUGUAAAUCAAGGAAGAAGAUGUCUUACUAAAGAUUACGAGUAUGGACCUCGAUAGAGCUUCCAUAGUUGUCUUGAAUGUCCUGUUGAAUUUGCUUGGCGGAAUUCCCAACAGAUUGUUGACAGUAAUGUAUAUCAAUAAGAGCUAGUGUGGUUAUAUCUGCAAAAUCUCGAGGGAUUGAAUCCAAAUACUCGCAAUUUCUAAGAAAAAGUCGUUCAAGGUACGGAAAGUGAUCACUACUAGCUCUCCAGUACCGAAUGUAUAUUUGAUCCAGAAACAAGAACUUCAAGUGAGGAAACCCUUCCUCAACUACUUCCCACUCCUCGCCUAUGACGGCAUUGUGUGAUAGUUUAAGGACCUCGAGUUUGGGUAAUUUACCAACAAUGCUCAAAUCCUUCCAUGCCAAAAGGAAAUCUCCUCUAAAAGUUAAACUCUGGAAAAGAUUAAUUAACAAAAAUUUAUGGUACUAAUUGGGGUAUUAAUUAACAUAUCCUUACUUGAUCACAUAUGUAUUGUUCUGUGUGAAAUUUUCCUCUGACUGAUAGUUGACUAAAUUAUAUUGCAUACGUUCGUGUACAUUUUCUCACUUGGAAGAGUGGAUUUGGACGUAAUUAACUAUCACCAUCGUUUAGGUAGAAAAAAGAAAAUAACUAAUAGUUGAAUGUUUUAAUACAUAGAUGAUCAACUAAUAUGAGAAGAAAAGAGUAGCGUAAAUGUGAGAUUCACUUCUCACCAAGAAUCCUCCUUUCUUAUUAUUUUCCUUUUAGAGGUUAAUAAUUAUUAAGUAUCCCUAGAAUAAUUUAUUGAAAAAGUAGAUUUGAAAGAAAGCAAUUACUCUCUUCUUCCUAUGCGGGACUUCUUGAACAUAACUAAUUUGACAAAAACCACAAUUUUAUUUAUUUUUAGGUGGAAUUAUAUCAAUAAGGAACUAUAUAUGCUUAUGAUAUUAAUCUAAGACCAUUAUUUGUUACUUGAACACAUGGAUUCAUCAUCUGAACAAUUGAAACAAUUAAUACUUGUGUGAACCUUUUUUUAUUUCGAGUGAUGUGUCAUAAUCAUUAGCCAACUAAGACUAGCGUUAAAUUUUUGGUAAGUCUCAAGAAGUGUAAUUAAUACUUAAUAAAAUAAUCUCAUCCUUGAGAUUCAAGAACUUGUUUGGAUUGAAUAGGUUUUUAUCAUCAAGAUCUAGAACAAAGUCUUAAUAUUAGUAAGAGGUAUUUUUGUGUGAAAAGUUUUCUUUGAGGUUCGAGAAAUGGAAUAGAUAUGGACUACAAGUUGAUAUUUCCCAUUGGAAAAUUCACACAAAAAGGAACAAGGAAUUCUCAAUGAAAAAAGCGCUCUCCAAAUCUGUUUAGUAUUUGUCAUGAGGUUCUUAUCAUAAUUGGAUUUUCCUUUUAGGAAAAGGUAAACACAGUCUCCAUAUUUGUCUAGUUCUUUUUCUUGUAGGAAAAAAAUUAUGACUCUAUAAAUAGAUGUUUUGUAACAUCCGACAAUUUGAAAUAGCUAAGAAGAGGCUUGAAAUUUGGAAAUUUUCAAUUUUUGGAAAGGAUUUGAAAAUCUGGAAAAUUUGGCUAAGUAUGGGAAAGGUGAGUUUUUUUGGGCCCAAACUUUGAACAACCAUAAAUUCUAGCUCAGGAUGAGUUAGGUGGAGUUCCGGUUAUGUUUGCAUAGCCCUCGGAACGACCUUUCCAACGCCACUGAGUUUGCUCAAUUCUGAGUUCGUAUGAGCGAGUUAUGGCCAUUGAAAGUUGGGCAGUUGGCAGGGAAUCCGUCCGGAAAAUUAAGGGCAUUUUAGUCUUUUCCCUAGCCAAUUCUUUUGGGAUUAUAUUGUUGUAUAGGGCUGAUCUUUAGAUCAUUUUGUCCCAUUUUAAGAAAUUAAAAUCUAGGGCUUGAGAGUGAAGAAGAGAAGAAGGAGAAGAAGAAGAGAAAAAUCGAGGAGAUCAACAAGUUUCCGACAAGAUCAUCGUGAAUGUUCGUCGGGGGUGAUCCCUAUCAAGGUAUGUGAGCUUUUAGUGUUGGGUGAUACUUUCCCCCACACACCUAGCCCCUUUUAUUUAUUAAGGAAGGAUUGGUUAUGUUGUUAAAGUUGUUAGUUGUUGUGGUUGAAGUUGUUGGAGUUGUUAAAGUUGUUAGUUGUUGUUGUUGGAAUUAUUGUUGGUGGUGGGACAUAAUUGAGUUGUGUUUUUAUGUUGAAAUCUAUUGAAUGUUGAGGGAUUUUAUGUUUCUAAGUGAUUGGGGGCUGGAAUCUUUGAGGUUAGAGGGUUUAGAGUUGGUAACGUGAAGGAGAAAGUCGGGUAGCUUGCGAGGAGCAUGUCUGCGUCGCGGACUUGUUCCUCUGUGAACAAAAAAUCUUCUCCGCGUCGCGGACAGGACGCAGACUCCACUGUUUUCAGAAUUUAUGUUCGAAGAUUUUCUUAGGUUUGGCUGUCCCAAAUCAUUCGCAAAUCAUUCCUAAACAUCAUGAGACCCUUCCAAACACCAAUCAAGUCCUUGAAUCCAUAAUCCAAUUCAAGGUGAGUUAUGAUCAAGUCAAGUGAAGUUAGUUUUCAAGUCAAGUGAAGUUAGAAGUCAAGUGAAGUUAGAGCCAAGCUUAGAAGUUAAGCAAGUCAAAGCAAGUCUUUAAAGCUUUUCAAGAGUCUUCAUUGAACGUUUUGACUUCAUUCUAAGGCUCAAGUUCCAAGUUAAGUAUAGAGUUUCAAGUCAAGCAAAGAGUCUCAAGUUUCAAGUUAAGUAAAGAGUAUCGAGUUUCAAUUUAAGUCAUAAUUUUUCAGUCAAGAGUCAAGAGUUGAGUUCAAUUCUCAAAAGUAAUUAGGGAACUAAGUAUUUCCCAAAGAAGUUUUAUAAGUGUUUUCACAUUUAAGUUGAGAGGAAACGGAGAUUUCCAAAAGAGUUUUGAGAAGUUUGAGCACUAUCUCUUUUAAAAGAAAAGAUGAGUUUUUGAAAAAGAGUUUCUAAAUUAUGAUUAGUAUGACAAAUGGAGUAUGUCAUCAAUGUUUAAACAGUAUGGUCUCUAGAUAUACCAUCAAUGUUUAAGCAGUAUGAAUAUCCCGAGUCAUCAAUGAUCAUAAAAAAAAAAAAUGUGGUUUUGACUUGUUCUAUUUAGAAAGAGUUUUCAAGUGCCUUCGGGCUAAGUUUUGAGUAAUUAUCUCAACUAAAGAAAGAUGUGCUUAAAACACUUAUGAGCUAAAGUAUUUUGGGAGUAGUAUCGAGCACCGAAUUGGGGAAACGAGUUCAUAUUAAACUCAACUCUCCAUAAGAACCAUGUAGCCAAACAUGGGAUUUCUCGGAUCAUACUUUUUAGAUGAUCACGAAAGUUAAGCUAGUGGAUCCAUUAAGCAAAAGUUAAAGUAAGGUCCUAUAUCGAUGGCAAGGUAUAGGAUGGUCCUUGGGCAACGUGAGGUAAAACGUUGUAUCACCACUCAGAUUCAUAGUGGUGGUUUGUCGGUUAGAGAAGCUCCCACAGUAGAAAGAGCAUGGUUCCUCGAGGGUUCUGCUUAGUAUGGAUGGGGGUAUGGGACUUCAUUCAUGCAUUGCACAAGUAGACUUUGAGAGGAAGCAUGGUAUUUUUAUGAUAUUAUAAAUAUGAUUUUUACGUCAUGUUUUAAUAGUUUCAAAAGCUUUAUAUAUAUUGCAUGUGUCUCAUUGCUUUAUAUUAAGUUCAGUUAUUCUUGAGUUGUACAGAGCCAAGGUAAGUUCUCUUUUGUAUCCCUUUUCAAGCUUAAGUUGUUGUUUAGCGGUCCAGCUCGCAUACUCGUACAUUCCAUGUACUGAUGCCAGUUGGCCUGCAUCUUAUGACGAUGCAGACACNNNNNNNNNNNNNNNNNNNNNNNNNNNNNNNNNNNNNNNNNNNNNNNNNNNNNNNNNNNNNNNNNNNNNNNNNNNNNNNNNNNNNNNNNNNNNNNNNNNNNNNNNNCAGUCAGUUAGUUUUGAGUCUCUCAUCUAUGUAUAUAUGUAAAUAUUCUAUUUUGAGACUCGAGUGGCCUUUUUGGCCAGAUGUGUAUCAUUUAAGUUGUUUAUGUCUUUGCAUGGCAUUGAGUUAUUCUGUUGAGUAGGUUUCCGCUGAGUUAAGAAAGCCAGGCCAAGGGUUCGCUUGGGGCCAGCAAUGGUCUCUGAGUGCCGGUCCCGCCCAGGGUGUAGGCUCGGGGCGUGACAUGUUUAUUCAUUCUAGCUUGGUAGCAUUCAUAAUGCAAUCCUAGGGGGCUUUGAGAGUUUUGUGUAUUGUGUGAAGCUAGAGGAAGAAUGUAUGAGACACAAGUAUUACUUUAACACUUGUGUGAACCUCUUUGUAUUCAGAGUGAAUUGUGUGAGGUUAUUCUUCUCUAGAUUUUAUAGUGAUUUUUUCAUCUCCUCUUGUGGAUGUAGAUCGGUUGACCGAACCACGAUAAAUGUUUGUGUCUUUUGAUAUAUUUCUUGUUUGUCUUAUUACUCAUCGUCUUUCAAGGUUUGCUUUGCUAGCUUUUGCAUGACACCUAAUUAUUUCAGUCCCAACAAGUGACAUCAGAGUCAGGUUCAAUGGUUUAAUGAUUCAAUGGUCGAACCAUGUUAAAAAUAAGUGUUCAUCUUGACGGGUUUAGUUCUAGCCGUAACAUAUUUGACAGUAAUGAAGAUUUUUGUUGGAGAAAUAUUUUCAAAGAUGUUUUCUGUGUUGAUAUAUAUAUAUAUAUAUAUAUAUAUAGAUUUUGCAGAGGAGAUGCAAGGUAUUGAAGAUUAUGUGAAGAAGGUGGAUCAAAUUUAUUUUGUCAGAAAUUUAGGCCAAUGGAGAUAUUUGUUUAGUAUUUGUCAUGAAUUUCUUAUCAUAAUUGGGUUUUUUCUUUUAGAAAAAGGAAACCACAAAGUUUCCAUAUUUGGCUAGUUCUUUUUCUUGUAGGAAAAUGUUUGACUCUAAAAUUAUAUGUGUAUUCCUUCUAGCCUAAUAGCAUUUACAAUGUAGUCCUAAGGGGCAUAGAGAGUUUUGUGUAUUGCGUGUAGCUAGGGGGAGAAUGUGUGAGACACAAGUGUUACUUUAACACUUGUGUAAACCUCUUUGUUUUUCCAUUGAAUUGUGUAAGGUUAUUCCUCUCAAUAUUUUGUACUUUCUUUUAUAUAGUGAAUUGCUCAUAUCCUCUUUUGGAUGUAGGUCGGUUGUCCGAACUACGUUGAAUAUUUAUGUCUUUUGGUAUAUUUUUCGUUUGUAUUAUUACUCAUGGUCUUUCAAAAUUUGCUUUGCUAGCUUUUGCCUGAUACCUAAUAAUUUCAGUCCCAACAAAACCAAACGUGAAAGUUGUUUUCCAGCAGACAACUUUUCUAGUAGCUCUACUCUCGACUUGGAUAAUUUAACCAAAAAGGUACGCUUUCGGCCAUUCUACAUGCUGCCUAUGUAGAGACAUGUUUAUCUAAAGUGGAUUCUCUUUUUUGUAGUAGGUAUCAAACCUGUUAUGCCCAUUGACUAAGAAGCUAGGGGUGGACACAACAACUACAUGGACCUCUUUCUUACAUCGGCCAUCACUAUUAAUCGUCUUUGUUAUCACAAUGACCACCACUAUUACCGUCAUCAAACAUCUCUGUCCUCACAAUUACCAUUAUUAUCAACCACUACUAUAUAUCAAACAUUUGCUAUAUUUAUGUUUUUUAUUGACAUAAACAAUGGGUUAACAUGAUAUAAUUUAUUAGUAGUUUUAUAUAUUUUUCUUAUAAUAAAGGAAACAAUCACUUAUACAUUCUUUGAGAUCAUUUAGUUUAAAAUCAGGAGUGGAAUCAUAACUAGGGUUAUAGCUUAGCAUCAAUUCACCUUCUUAAUUAAUGGGAUAAUUUAAUUAGCUAAAUUUGAAUGAAAAGAAGAAGAAAUUGAUUAAUUUAAUUCGUUUACGUUCCAAUGGGGUGUGCAAUAUCCAUAAAUUUGUCAUGUCGUUAUUAGGUGUUCAUGAGAUGCACAUAUUCCAAGCAAAAGUACCUAUUUGAUCACUAGAUGAGUUUAAGUAUUCAAUUUACAAAUUCUGCCAAAUUUGAGGGACUAUCUAGGUAUUAUUUAGAUAAAAUUAUUUGUAUAGUCCACUCUAAACAUACUUAUAAUUAAGCAAGUAACAUAUACUAUAUAAAGAAGCUUCUAGAGAUAAUUAAAGUUAACUCUAUAUAAUUAGAGUUGCAAUAACAAAUACGUCAAAACAUUAAAGUGUUUCACCAAUAAAGUCAUUUUUUUAAUGUCCAAAACUAAUCCAAUGGAAGCUCUAUUAUGUGGAACACCAGAAGAAGUUUCAGUAUUGUUGGUACAUCAUGAAGUAGAAUUUCUUACUAAUCAGACUGUUAAAUUGUUAGAGGCUUAUAAAUACAAAGGUGACAUUCUAGAAUUUUUUUAACUUUUUUGUUUCUUUGAUAUAAUAACUAAAUGCCGUGUGACAUUUUUUUUUAUAUAUAGAGAGAGAUUGAAAUGAUAUGCUUUUUGUUAUCUCAUUUAUGAUUUUAGCAUCGUCCAUUUUUAAAUUUCAUUUAUCUUGUAAAUCUUGAACUUUUCUUUUUCCUUGUUAUCAUAGCACUUUUUAAUUUUUACAAAUUUAUCUAUCCUCGAAGAAAAAUAAUUCUACAUUAGUGAUGGAUGCACAAGAAAUUAGGAUGACGGGAGGGAAGAGAAAGAGCACGAAAAAGACAUGAUAAGAGAUGAUCUGUCUAUCAUUAUUACUUGAGAUAAUAUUUUUUUGUCUUUUAUUGGAUGUAUAAAAAAAAAUGAGGAGAUCUAAUUUUCAUUAAAAAAACAUUUCCCUUUCUAUUUUUUGUUUUUGUUUUUCGUUGGACGUAGACAAAAAAUUGGCAACUCCUUUCUUAUACUUUGUUAGAUCAUCUAAUUACAUAUCUAUGAAAUAAAAUUACCUCAAAACAUUUUAUCCUAUUAUCUUUUGCUUUAAUAUUUAUUUGUUUUUGACAAGCCAUAAAUAAAUUGGAAUAGUUUUUAGAAAUAUAUUCUUUAGGAUCUUCUCUAGUUUUUAGUAAUCCAAUUAACGAAAAAAAAAAACUAAUAUAUACUUUUUAUGUAACCAAUCUAGUUAAGAUUGCACUCAUCAUUUAUAAUAUAAGUUGAUUAAUAUGUGUUAUUUUAAAAAUUAAAGUGCAGAAAUAUAACAUGAAAAUUCACAGUUGAAUUUGAAUAACAAACAAACAUAUCCAAAUGAUACCUUUGUGUACAAUAUUUUUUUUUUCAUAAUUUUCACUGAUUUCAAAUUGCACGGGUAUAUGUAGUUACGGAAGUUAUGGCUCCUGCGGCAAUGUCAAUGCUUUUCAAAGAAAAGAAAAAAAUUGAUGCAAUGAUAAUCAAGGUCAUUUCACCGGAUUCACAUUGCUUUGAGCUCCUGGCACAAGCUGUAACCUUGAACAUCAUCGUAGUAAGUAAGUAUUUAUAAUUCUAUCUUCCACUUAUUAUUAUAGACGGUAAAGUAAGUUUUUUUAAUUAACUAUUGCAUAAUGUAUAUAAUAUUAUUCAAUUUUAAUUGCUAUCUUCUUGAUAUAAUUAUGCAGUUGUCUAUGAUGAACUCAAUGAAUUCUUAGUGAAGAAAGCUUUGGACAAUGGAGCUUACAUUUGCUCGAAGAAGCCUCUUGUCGAGCAAACUAUGACAUUCUUGUGGCAAUUUGUAUGGAGGGAGAAAACACAAAGAGGGAAAUCAAUAAAAAGAGUAGAAACAAAGGGAGAUCAUAUUUUUGUUUGAAGUUAUUGGAGUUCUGAGAAAACAAUAGGUCGUGGUUUUUUCCUCCCUUGAGCAAAGAGGUUUCCACGUUAACAUAUGUGUUCUUACUUUAAGCAUUUAGAUUACUUCUUGUUAUCAGUAUAGUCAAGUGGUCAGAACACGAGAAGACAUGUCACUAAACAACAACAUAUAUAGGAAAAAACAAACUCUGCUAAGUGAUCGAUCCGUGUGUGAUAGUUGCCUUCUUAACCUUGAACUAUUGCUUCCUGCUAGAUUAUAUGAACUUAGAUAUGUAUACAAAUUAGUAUUCAAUGAGUUCCCAAACAUUCGUGCAUAAACAAUUUCCCCUGUUGUCGUGCCACCAGGACUUAGCAUAUGUUCUGUAUUUGUAUAAUUUCGAUGAUGAUCAUGAGAUUGCUGGGAUAAUGGAGGCAUAUUAUUAUUGUGUAUUAGACCGUGACUCCUACAUCUCGAACUAGGAGGUCUUUGUGGUAUGACUAUACCAAAAUUCUAUACCAAAAUUCGGGGCCUUAAUUUCAGAUGUUUUUGUAGCUUGACAGCGACCAUAGAGUGGAAUCAAUGUUUUUUGUGAGACUUCAGCUUUGCAAACAGGGCAAUUUGGUUGUUGGUUAUCGAUGUUCUCUGAUGAAAUGGUCUUAAAAUGUAUCCAUUUGUAGAUGCAAGGCCAACAAUAGGAGGUGACCACAUAAUGUAACAACAGGAUCAUGUACAACAUCUAGGCAAAUGUUGCACUCGAAACCUCCAGGUGAAUUUUCUUCAAGUUUAUCAAGAUCAAUUGUCUCCAUUUUUCAAAGGAAAUAUCGCGUUGAUCAAAGGUAGUUUCUGCUAUUUGGUCUUGAAAAAUUUGUUCUAAGGCCAUAUUUGCCUCUUGGUAUUGAAUUAUUUUGGUAAUGGCAAGAUGAAGAAUGGUUAGAAUUCAGGUUUUUAAUACAAUUAGAAGUGAGUAUUUAUAAGGACAAAGAAUAGUAGUUUGCAAACAAUGAUUCUUAAGGUUGUCACUUGUCAACAUCACAUUAUGUUAAAGGGGCAUGGCCAAAAAGAAAAGGCCCUACACAUUAUUAAACAACACUAUAUCAUAUUACUCAACAGUCUUGAUUUAUGGGGUAUUGUUUGAUUUGAUAUAACAUUUAAUAAGAAAAUGAAGACUUUUAAAAUAUGUACUGUAUUAAAGAUAAAAAAUAAAUUUUAAGUUUUUCGAUCCUAGAAAUGAUAUUCUUUUUAUAUUAAGACUAAAACAAAUGUUUUACAUAAAUUAAGAUAGAUGAACUAUCAAACACAUCAUAAUUAAGUGAUUUAAUGAAGUCAAAAAUAAAUAUUAAUGGAUCAUGGUUAAGUGAGAGGAGUUUUGUGCAAACACGUCUUUUAUCUAUCUAUUUGAUUUAAACAAGCAUAAGUUUUAUCAUAUUAGAAAUAUGAUUAGGACCUUAUAUUAGGCCCCAUGAUAGGAAUCUUAAUCUAGAAAAUAACUUUUAGUCAAUAAAAAGUAGCACUAGUUGCGUACAAGGAGCUACCACUUGAUGACCUUCCACACUUCCACAUCCCAUAAGUUCAAUAGUUUUCACACUAUAAGAACUAGAUGUUUUUUUCCGCGUGAAUCAAUAAAAUUUUUAGUUUUAUGUUAUAAAACAUGAUUUUUUUCAUUUUGAUUUUAUUAAACUAAUUCACUAAGAAAAUUCAUAACGAAACAUAAGUUCUCAUUGAAAUACUGGAAAUAGUCACUUGGAAAUUUAUGAGUUUUAGGAAAUUAUGCAUCAAAACUUAGAAAGACGCGGCUCAUAUAGAAAUUUGUUGUUAAAUCAUAAUAUAUACUUUUACAUCUGAAUAUCUUUAUUGAUUUGGUUAAAAUUAUAAUUAAAAAAAUUACAAUACAAUAUAUAUAGAUUCACAUAAAUUUAAUACUGUAAGUUCAAUUAUUAUUCAAUUAUUAUUAUGAUAUAUUAAUCUAAAAUUAUUAUAGAAGCUUCUAAACUCUAAAUUCAGAUCCAACUAAGGAGUGAAUAUACAUAGUGGGGGUCUGGGGGAUGGGAGAAAACAUAUGGACGGUGUGACAAAUAAAUAAAAGAAAUACUCCGUCCAUUCCAUUUGACUUAGUAUUGUUUGACUUAAUACGAUGUAUAAGAGAAAAAAAAGAUUUUAGAAAAUUAUAGGCUAAAACAAUUUUUAUAUAUUUAUAUAAUUGUAAAUCAUUUCAUUAAUUAAGGGUAGAUGGAGAAUUUUAAGUUUAAUUAUUUUCAAUUACAAUAAAAUGACAUUUUUAAAGACGGAUUAUGAGAAUAGAGUGCCACGUAAAAUAAAACGAGAAAAUACUACUCCCUCCUUCCCAUUUUAUAUGUUACCUUUUUACUUUACAUUUACAUUAAGAAAUAAUGUAACUUUACCCUUCUACCCUUAUUUAAUGUUUUCUUAAGUUAACUUUAUAACUCCCUCCGUCCCAUUUUAUAUGUCAUCUCUUUCUAUAAAUAGUUGGACCACAAUACUUGUCAUUUUAUAAAAUUUAUGUAUAAAUUACCAUAUUUUACCUAUUAUAUCCUUGAUAGAGUAGUUAAUUAAUCUUGAAAAUAUAUUCAUCAUUUAUUAUAAAUUGACUUAAGAAAAUAUUAAAUAAGAAUAGAAAGAUAAAAUUACAUCAUUUCUUAAUAAAAGUAUAAAGUAAAAAUGUGACGUAUAAAAUAGAACGGAGGGAGUACUACAAAAGAACGAGUCCGCACAUGCAUUAUACAAGUACUACAUGUGUCUCGAAUUUAGCAGCCUUUUGUCAACUUUUUAUAUUUUGGCUUACUUGGAAGCAAGUCUAUCCUCUCCUAUACAAUCAAUUAGGGUGGCCAUUAAUCAUAUAUUAUUAGGCUAAAGAUAACAUAUUGCUCCCUCCGUUUUUAAUUAUUUAUCCAUUUUUUUAGUUAUUCCUAAUUACUUGUCUAUUUUUACAAAUCAAGAAAGAACAAUUUUUUUUACCUAUUAUACCGUCAAUUUAUUACUUUGAAAAAAGUAGAACUUUUUGAAAAUCUUGAGUUUUUAAUUCAUCCACUUCAUAAUUAAUAUGGAUAAAAUGGUAAACUCACUAUUUCAAUAAUUGUUUUCUUAAUAGGUGUGCCAAUUCAAAAAUGGACAAGUAAUUAGGGAUAGAGAAAGUAUAUCGAAAUAAUAUAAUAAGAUAUUAUGCUAAAGAUAAUUAACAAAACUUUGAACAAUUAUAAAUAAGAUAGCAAAAAAAUCCAUAGUAAAUUAACAUGGUUCAACGAUUAGUGAUGGAAUCUGAAUAUGAUUCAGGAUUUUCACUAUUAAUGAAAUUCAAAAGGAAUAAUACAUAAAUGUGCCCUUUAACUUGACUUCAUUUUAUGUUUAUGUCCUUCAACUUUGGGUAUACACAAAUAUGCACCUAAACUUGUAUAAAGUUGAACAACUAGACACAUGAGUCCUACAUGACACAAUACACAUAAGAUACCACGUAGGAUAAAAAAUGCCAUGUAGGACAUGUGUGUCUAUUUUUUCAACUUUAUACAAAUUUAAAUAUCUACUUGUGCACACCCAAAGUUGAAGGGCAUAAAUGUGAUUUGAAGCCAAGUUAAAGGGUAUAUUUAUGUAUUAUGCCUAUUCAAAAUAUGAAUAAAUAAACAUAUAAAUUAGCUGACUACAAUAAUAGACAGAUAAAAAAUAAUUUUAACUAUAUGUAUAAAUAAUAUAAUUUUUCAUCGAAAGAGGUUCAUCUGAUUCCUCACUACUUUCUCUCAUUCAAAACUAAGCAAUAUGAGACUUUCAUGUCACAUGGAACCCUUUUUUUUUUUUUUGGAAAUCUCAGUAGUUCAGUUAAUUGACUGACUAUCUGAAUUCUCGAUUUCCCAUGUUGUAAUCCUCUACCCCAAUUUUUUUAUUACCUUCCUCACAUAUGUAUAAGACCGAAUCCAAAUAUCUAAGAUGAGAGAAUUUUGGGAGAGCCACCGACUCCAACUACUGCCAUAUAUUAUCCAUAUUAGAUUUGACCAACUAUCCAUCCUACCCUCCUCUACGUUCUUGACAACCCAUUUUUGUCUUAGUCAAGUCUUUUAGUGGCACGUUUUGAUCCUCUUUUCAAUUACUUAGAAAAAGUGAGUUAUUAUUCAGAUACAAAAUACUAUCAUUAUCGCCUAAAAAAUUAGACAUUCAACCCGUAAUCACAAUGAUCCAAUUACAAAAGCUCCGAACCCCCUAGGUCUAGACUGGCUCUGGCCCUAGUUUUAUCUCUUGACCUUCACAUGAGUAAACUCGUUGAUAUAGAGGAUUACAGUAUUGAUUUCUUUAAAAGAAAAAAACCUUAAUUUAAGGUAUGGAGGCCUAGAAAGGAAACACACGUUAUAUAUGGAGCCUGUUCUGGCCUAUACAGUAUAUAUGUACAUAAAAUUUGGAGUAUCUAAAGAACCACUGACAAAUGGCUACGAAAGAUCAUAUACAAUUAAAUUACAAGCCAUUUGCAAUCAUCCUGCCACCUUAAGCAGAAAAAAUGAAAACGAAUAAAACAAACACUCACACAUUUGGCUUCUGAUUUGACAUUUAUUUCAGAGAACUGGCUAGUCCUCAGAACACCUUAACUACUCGCUGCAGAAAAAGAAAAAAAAGACGCAAAAAAUGGAAAAUAAUAUGUUAGAUGUCCCAUAAUUAAGGAACAAGAGAACAUUAUAGCAAGAAUGAGCAUGCAGGUACGUAUAAGAACUUACACAUUAUUGCGGCAAGAAGCAACUUCUUUCUCAAAGUCAUCAUCAUCAUCAUCAUCUUCAUCUGUUGUCACACUAUCGAAAAUGCUUGCAACAAAAGAUGAAAAAUGAAAUGUUACACUUCCCAAAAUCAAGAAUGAACAUGCAAGUAUAACAAGUUACAAAAUAUUGGAAGGAUUCGAAUCAAUCACAAUGACAGCAUCAAGAACUUUUGUUGAAUUGAUGCAAUUUGACUUACUAAAGCUAUUAUCCAGAUUAUUAUCGAGUUUACUAUGAUGAUGAGUUAAAUAUUGUUGUAAAUCAAGGAAGAAGAUGUCUUACAAAAGAUUCACGAGUAUGGACCUCGAUAGAGCUUCCAUAGUUGUCUUGAAUGUCCUGUUGAAUUUGCUUGGCGGAAUUCCCAACAGAUUGUUUACAGUCACUUAUAUCAAUAAGAGCUAGUGUGGUUAUAUCUGCAAAAUCUCGAGGGAUUGAAUCCAAAGAAUAGCAAUCUUUAAGAAAAAGUCGUUCAAGGUACGGAAAGUGAUCACUACUAGCUCUCCAGUACCGAAUGUAUACUCUAUCCAGAAACAAGAACUUUAAGUGAGGAAACCCUUCCUCAACUACUUCCCACUCCUCGCCUAUGAAGGCAUUGUCUGAUAGUUUAAGGACCUCGAGUUUGGAUAAUUUACCAACAAUGCUCAAAUCCUUCCAUGCCAAAGAAAAUUUUCCCCUAAAAGUUAAACUCUUAAGGUUUUGUGGAAAAGCAUCCGGAGGAGGUAAGAGUAAAGUUGGAACAUCAGUUGGAGGUGCAGUUCCCCCGAAACGAGUCUGAAACCUCAGAGGAUCUUGCGGAGUAGAACCUGAAGGUGCAGUGUUUUUUAGAAAGCAAGCAAUAGGUGAAUAAUAAAUACCAAAUGUCAAUUUCUCGAGCUGAUAUAAGUAGCGAAAAUCAUACAGGUCCUUGUGAUUGCGAAAGUCCUCUGGGACGCCAAAUACUUUCAACUUCUUUAAAUUGGGAAAUAGUCUAAAAAAAGACCCUGUACAAUACCGAGGAUUCAAUUGAUUGAGGCAUUGCAAACUUUUCAAAACCAAUCUGUUCUCUGUAGGCUCAUGACUCUGCAAGUAAUUCCAGCCCAUAUGCAGCUUCCUCAAUUGUGGCAUCGUCAAAAUUUCCGAUGGUAAUAUGAAAGGAUAACUACUAUUGGGAAAUGGAAGGUAAAGUUUAAAAGUUUGCAGAUAGCAUAGGCUUGAUAUCGAUAGAGGAAUGUCUAUUAUUGAUGAGGGAACAGCUUCUUUCGAUCCUCGAUACUGCUUUAAGCAAGGCUUAAAACACAAAGAUAGGUAUCUCAAAUGAAAUAGAGAAAGUACUCCACUGGGAAAAAAUGGGCAUAUAGUCAAACCAAGAUCUAGUACUCUUACUAGCUUGAAAGACAAUGCCAGUGUGACGCAUUUGAAUCCACCCAACAUGAUAAUAGAAUGAGCCUCACUGCUACAACACCAAACCAAUUUUUUCUCAUUAUGGAUUCUGAUCCGAUUUCGACUCUUAAAGGAACACUGCAUGGAUUGUUCACAUGAAUUUUGAUAACUCUUUCCUCUGAUAACAUUCACAAAAUUCAUGUUUCGAGCUUCCCUCAAACAGAGUUCACGGGUCACAUCAUGCAUUCCACAACUUUCUAUUGUUCCACGAAAACUAAAAUUGUGGAUGAAAAUUAAGCUUCUAUCUAUAAGUUCAUUUAUACAUGUUGUUGCCACCUCUUCUAUGCUUUUUCCCUCUUCUUCAUUCAAAAACCCCUCUACGGCCCAUAAUUCAACAAGUUUAUUUACAUAAAUCUGUUCAUCCUCUGCGAAAAUUGCAAAAUACAGAAAACACGGUUUUAGGUGAGAAGGCAAGUGAUGGUAACUCAAAGCCAACACUCUCAUGCACUUUGCUUCAAGAUCUGUGCUUACCACUGAACUUACAUUCUCCGCAACAUAUUGCCACACACCCAAUGUUUUACUGAUUUUGGAGAGAAGUCCAGCAAUCACAGUAAUUGCUAGAGGUAACCCUCCACAUUUUAAUGCAAUUUGUUUCCCAAUAUUUUCAAAUUCAGGAGAAUAAGAACCUUCUUUUUCAAAGAUCUUUUUGUGUAGUAAAUUCCAACUUUCGUCAAAAUUCAUGAGGCGCAUGUGAUGAGGAGGCUUACCUGACCUAGCACAUUCAGCCACUUCCACAUUCCGAGUAGUCAGGAGUAUUCUGCUUCCAUUAUAACAGUCUGGGAAACAUAGUUUUAUAUCAUCCCAAGCUUCUGUAGUCCAUAUGUCAUCAAUGACUACCAAGUAUCUCCUGCCUUUCAGAUGCUUCUGCAAUCGGUCCGCUAGCUGAUCAUCAGGUUCAUCACUUAUCGAAGGAAGAAGGCCUAGGAUUACAUUUCUCACACAAUACUCUUGUGAAACAGUUGCUUUUGCACGAAUAUCAAAUCGAGACAUAAUGUAAGGAUCACUAUAGAGUUUUGUAGCCAAAGUUGUUUUCCCGAUACCUCCCAUCCCUACGAUUGAGACAACUUCUAGUUCCCUUCCUCCUCUAGCAAGUUGAUCCAGCAUCAUCUCAAAUUCAUUUUCACGGCCAACCAUUAUAUUCUCGGGCUGCUCAACAGCAUGUUCAGGUAAACUGACAAGUGAGCUAGUUUGUGGUUUUAGAUCUUUCAUGCUGUCCGAUGCUGCCAUCCACUGUUUCACGGUGGAAGCAAUGCAUUCUAGUGCUUGUUCCAAGACGAAAAAAAUCUCCCACAUAGCCCUGCUUCUUUCCUCCAAAUUCUGUGCUAAAAAAACAUUUCUUGAUUCCGAGUCAACCAUAUCUUCUGUUGUGUAUGCUACCUCUGCGAUUUCAACUUCCAAGAUUGUUAACCCCUCAUGAUCGCCCAUUAUAUUGCAGGAUUUCUCCAGAAUAGCUCUCAAAGAUUUGAGCUUUUCAUAAAACGGUUGCAAAUCACAUCCAGUAAGUUCCAUUGAUUGAUGUAUGGUUCUCAUAAGGGAAGUAACAGCAGCAUAAGCCAUAUAUCCAAAAAAUAGAAAUAUCUCUCAGUAUGAAAAUGGACAAAUUGCCACAAGUUAUGUAAUUUUUCAGUUUUUAAGAAAACAGAAAAUGCAAAGUUCUUUCUUUUACUAGCUAUUUCCAUCACAUUUCCAGCUAGGUCCACCAACCUUAUCAUCAUGUAGACAAAAGCAGAGACCAAAGUUAAAAAAAAAAGAAAAAAGGCAGGACUCUAACAGGAAAAAGUAGAAAAAAUUGUGACCAUUCAUUAUUAGACCCUACACUUAUCUAUUCAUGAAUAUAGGUAUGUUUCUUACAUACAAGAGAUUGAUGAUUUUAAUUCCAUUGAAAGCAACUUCGUAGAAUUUUCCAAAUCAAAGAGAGAGAAAUAUUAAGAUCCAAGUAGGAAUUUCUCUAUUCCUAGUUCGAUUCAAUUAACCAAGCAUAAAUAUCUCUUUAAAUAUAUAUGAGAAGUUUAGACUCUAAAAGUCAAAUCAACAAAAUAUUUAUGGGCUAACACAUGAAAAACUAUUGAGAAAAUUGCCUAAUUUCUGUAAAUUGGCCCUUAAAUCUCCAAAAUGGACUCUAAAAAUUGUCAGACUGUACGUAUUGCUCCCAACUCCCUACUAAGGGUUCUGUAAUUUCGAUUAGAAUUCGCCCGUAAGUCAUAUCACCAAUAUAUUAAUGACUAACACACACGAAAAACUAAGAAAAUUGUCUAAUUUCUUGAAAUUGGCCCCUAAAUGCCUAAAAUGGACUCUAAAAAAUUGUCAGACUGUACGUAUUGCUCCCAACUACCUACUAAGGGUUCUGUAAUUUCGAUUAGAAUUCGCCCGUAAGUCAUAUCACCAAAAAUAUUAAUGGGCUAACACACACAAAACACUGAGAAAGUCGCCUAUUCCUGUAAAUUGGCCCCUAAAUGCCCAAAAUGAACUCUAAAAUUGUGAGACUAUGUACUGCUCCACUAACUCCCUAUGGAGGGUUCCGUAAAGAUUUCACAAAGAAAUUAUUCGGAAGAUAUAUCACCAAAAUAUUUAUGGGCUAAUACAUUUUUAUUUGUCCAUUUGAUUUGAUAUAUCUUUCAAGUACUUUGAUCCGGUUAUACUUUUUUUUUAUUGCUAAAAAUAAAUAUCCACUUUUACUUGUUCAUUCUACAAAACAAAGACAAUAUUUUAUUGCUUGAUUCAGAUAUAAAAUUUGAGUAGGCUAAUUUACAAACCAUCUGUAGUCAUCCUGCCCCUAUGCUAUAACAUUUGAAAGAAAGAGGUCAUCAUCAUCAUAUUCAUCAUCGUUGUCAUCUUCAUCUUCAUCUUCAUCAUCAUCUUCAUCUUCAUCAUCAUCUUCAUCAUCAUCUUCAUCUUCUUCAUCAUUAUCAUCAUCAUCAUCAUGAUCGUCAUCGUCACUUGUUUCCUCACUGUUGAAAAAGCCAGCAACAAAAGAUGAAAAAUGAAAUGUUAUGCAAGUAUAACAAGUUACACAAUUACUAUAUUGGAAGGAUUUAAAUCAUAUACAAUGACAACGUAUGAACUUUUACACUAUAGGUGCCAUUUAACUGCUUAUUAAAGCAACUUAUAAUUAUUUUAUUACUAGUUCUGGACACAUGCUUUGCAUGUGUAUAUUACACGUUUAGUCACGAUUGUAAGAGGGUGUACACCAGGAUCAUUCGAAGAGCAAAGUCGUGUGAGCCUUACAGAUAUUCUUGACGUACUCCUAUUAAAAUCUGUAUCAUAAUAUCUGAUGAAAUCAGCUACUGAUCAGUCAAGCUCUCCAUUGAUGUAGACUUCAACUACACAUGAGAAAGAAUGAGAGAAGAAGAGAGAAGAGAAGAGAAGAAGAAUCUAGAAGAGCAACAUGAAAAUUAAUCUCUCAUUGAAUGUGAAUUAAAACUACAAGAAUUACAAUGUGACUAUAUAUAUAUAAUCACUGGCAGAAAUUAACUAACUAACAAACUUGAUUCUAACUAACUCUACUGUACAUAGAUUCUAACUAACUCUACUGUACAUAACCGACUCUACUGUACAUAACUAACUAAUUAUACUUUAUAUUCUCAUCACCCCCCCUCAAGUUGGAGGUGAUGUAAUUACAGACAACUUGUGCAAUAAGGCAGUAUGUUUAACUCCAGUCAGAGCCUUGGUGAAGAUGUCUGCCAACUGUGAAUCAGUGGGAAUAUGAUGGAGUGUGAUUAGGCCUUGUUGAAGCUUGGUCCUAACAAAGUGACAAUCGAUUUCUAUGUGCUUUGUCCUCUCAUGAAAAACUGGAUUCUUUGCAAUGUGGACUGCUGCUUGACUGUCACAAUGGACAGGGAUAGGUAAGGAGCAUUGUACAGUCAACUCAUCCAACAAUCGUUCAAGCCACACUAGUUCUCCUACAACUUGUCUCACAGCUCUAUAUUCAGCUUCAGCAGAUGACAAAGACACUGUUGCUUGCUUCUUAGACUUCCAGCUGACAGGACUAUCACCCAGAAGCACUAGGUAUCCACUAACAGACUUCCUGGAAUCAGGGCAAGCAGCCCAAUCAGAAUCACAAUAAGCACUGAUAGUGAGAUCAGGCUUGUUUGAGAUAAAAAUUCCCAAUGUUGGAUCCUGUUUCAAAUAUCUGAGCACAUGGUAUGCUGCUUUUAAAUGUGGUUCCCUAGGUGAUUGCAUAAAUUGGCUCAAGUGUUGUAUACUAUAAGCUAUGUCCAUUCUAGUGUUGGUCAAAAAAUUUAGCUUACCAACCAACUUCCUGUAUUGAGUAGGAUCAGAUAAAAGAUUGCCAUCUGUAGCUGUUAACUUCUCAGUGCAAUCAAGUGGUGAUGUAGUGGCCUUGUGACUUAACACAUCAAAAUCUUUCAGGAGAUCAGAAGUGAAUUUCCUUUGUGAAACUAGCACUCCAUCAUGUCUGUAUAAUAUUUCCAGUCCCAGAAAGUAGUGUAGUUUGCCCAAAUCCUUUAUCUUGAACUGAUCAUUUAAGAAGCUCUUUAAGGAGUUGAUUUCAGCCACAUCUGUUCCAGUUAGAAUUAUGUCAUCCACAUAUACAGCAACAAACACCAAGGAGCAGCCCUUCCUUUUGUAGAACAGUGAGUAAUCACUGUCUGAGUGCUGAUACCCUCUUGAACAUAGACAGUUUGCCAACUUCUCAUACCAUUGCCUGCUGGCCUGUUUUAGUCCAUACAAAGACUUCUUCAAUUUGCACACCAUGUUAUCACAACCUACUACAAGACCUUGUGGAGGUGCCAUGUACACUUCCUCAUGCAAAUCACCAUGUAAGAAUGCAUUAUUGACAUCUAGCUGAUACAAGCUCCAAUCUUUCUUAACAGCUAAAGAGAUUAAUGUUCUAACAGUAGUCAUUUUAACUACAGGUGAGAAGGUUUCAGUGUAAUCUACCCCAACUUGUUGUGUAUAACCUUUGACCACCAACCUACACCCCAGCUUGUUGUGUAUAACCUUUGACCACCAGCCUAGCCUUGAACCUCUCCACACUCCCAUCAGCUUUGUGCUUGAUUUUGUACACCCACUUGCACCCAAUAGCUUUCUUCCCAUCAGGUAACAUGACCAUCUCCCAAGUGUCAUUAGCAUACAAAGCUUCAAACUCCUGUGUCAUGGCCUGCUGCCAGGCAGGGUGCAAUAUUGCUUCCUCAAAUGAAAUAGGCUCACAUUCAUGUGAAAUGGUUGUUACUAACUGCUGACUAUCAGAACAAAGACUGGUGAAACAUACAUGUUUAUGGGGAGAUAUAAAGGAAGUGAGGGAGUGCAGCUUAGGUAUAGUGUAGGUGUAUUCUUUUAGGUAAUUAGGAGUGUGUAUGGUUCUGGUUGUUCUUCUAGGUGCUGAUAUUGUAGGUACUGGUAAAGUAUCAUGAUGCAUGGUGGCAUUUGGAUCAGGUAAGGUAGGUUGAGUUGUAGUAGGUUGAGUUGUAGGUUCAUGUAGGACAGCAGGUGGUACUUCAUUCAUGUUGGUAUUACUGGUUACUUGAUUAUUAGUGACUUCAUGUGGUGUGAAAUUUUCCAGUUGAUCAUCAUUAGCAAAAAUGUUCAUUUUACCAGACAUACAAGGCAUGCUAGUGGUAUGAGUAAGCAUUUGCAGAAUGGAAUUGAAACUAGAACCAUCAGGGGCAAUAACAAAAGGAAAAAUAUUUUCUUGAAAAAUAACAUCUCUUGAUAUAUGAACUUUCUUGGUAGCUAAAUUCAAAACUUUGUAACCUUUUGUAUUGAAAGGGUAACCAACAAAAACAUGAGGUGUGGUUCUAGGUUCAAAUUUAUCUUUGUGAGUUUUCAAGGUAGUGGGGAAACAAAGACAACCAAAACUCUUAAGGUGGGAAUAUGUAGGUGAUUUAUGGUACAACAUUUCAUAUGGAGAUUUAUUCUGUAAAAGUUGAGUGGGCAGUCUAUUAAUCAGGUAUGUGGCAGUCAAUACACAUUCCCCCCAGUACCUCAUAGGCAACUUUGACUGAAACAAAAGUGCCCUUGCUGUUUCAAGUAGGUACUUAUGUUUCCUUUCUACCACCCCAUUUUGUUGAGGUGUAUAAGGACAAGUUCUUUGGUGUAUGAUACCUUGUUUUGGAAGAAAUUUGUGGCUUCAGCUGAAGUAAACUCUAACCCAUUGUCAGAUCUUAUGGCUUUUUAACUUGGUUUGGAAUUGGUUUUCUAUGAGAGAUAUGAAGGCUUUGAUAGUUUGGAGAGCAUUACUCUUACAUCUCAGCAAUUGUGUCCAAGUGGACCUACUGUGGUCAUCUACCAUAGUGAGGAAAUAAUGAUAUCCAUCAUGAGUGGGAACAUGAUAUGGUCCCCAUAGGUCAACAUGUAACAACUCAAACACUUUAGUGGUGGUGGUGAUACUUUCUGGAAAAGGCAUCCUAGUUUGCCUAGCCAUAGGGCAUAUAUUGCAAGUAAAAGGCUGUUUAGGAGAAAAAUGAACAGGUAUAGUUGAGAUAUUUUUCAUUUUUACAAAAGGUACAUGUCCUAAUCUAGCAUGCCACAAAAGUUCAUCAUCAUGAGUGUGAUUAGAGACAUUUGUAAAUGAAGGACAAGCAUGAGUAAAACAAGAGGAAGGAAAAACAGUACAAUCUGCCUUAUUCAUAGGAGAGUAUUUUACAGAAGAACCAGUGGACACAUUAGAAUCUGAAACCCUGCUAGUAUUGCCUAAAGAAGAGACAAGAGGACAAUUAACAUGAGGUGCUUUACUCUCAGCAGAUGGACAACAAUUGUGGCAUUUGUGACACAAGAAGUACAGGCCAUUCUUGGCUUUACCAAGUUCCAGAGGGCUCUUCAGAGAAGGGCCCUGCAGCAAACAAGAAGAUUUGUCAAAGCUGACUACACCAUUGAAUUGUAGUGCUAAACAAUGAACAGAAAUGAGAUUAAACUUGAAGCUAGGUACAAACAACACUUUGCUUAGAGUCAAAGCUGGAUUUAAACAAGCAUCACCAAUUUCAGUCACUUUAACCUUGUAACCAUUAGGGAGUGAAAUUAGAAAGGGAUAUGGAAGUGAAAUGAUGUUUGUGAGGGUGGUCUUAUCAUAGGUCAUAUGGUGUGAUGCUCCUGAAUCUAUGAUCCAAGAGCCAGCAGUCAGUUUAACACAUUUACAAGAAAGAUCACCUAUAUCAGUAAUAGAGGAAUAACAUGCAAGUAUACCUGCCAAGUUCACAGCUCCAUUCAGCAUGUUGUUUGAGUUGUCUGAGGCUCCAUUUCCAACUUGUAAAGUUCCCAGGAGAUUGAGUAGUUGUUCAUAUUGAUCUUUGGACAAGUUCAAUGGCAUUUGUCUCCUUACUUCAGGUUCCUCUUCAGAUUGAACUCCAUUCAUAUCAGGGGCACACACAUUUGCUGCAGCUUUUCCCUUUUUGAACCUUGGAUUUGGAUUGGAUGGGUAUCCAUGAAGCUUGUAACAUCUAUCCUUUGUGUGUCCUGAUUUCUUACAGUAGUCACAAAACAAAGAAGACUUGCCAGUGCUAGAAUUGCCUCUAAACCCAGUAUUACCAGAAUUGGUUCCACCUCCUCCAGAUGAACUGUAGUUUGUCCGGAAUCCCCUGUAUCCUGCACUGCUGUUGGUCUGUCCAUAAGCAUUGAGAGAGGUAGAAUCCAAGGCUGUAUGAUUAUGAGGCUUCACCUCCCUUUGUUUUUCCUCUUGGGAUAAUAUGGCAAAAGCUUGAGCCAUGCUUGGAAGUGUGUUCAUCAUGAGAAUGCUGCCUCUGACAGUCGUAUAUAUCUCAUUCAAUCCCAUUAGAAAAUGUAUCAAUCUUCUGUCUUGUUCAGCCUUGUGUAAUUUGCUUUUACCCCCACAAAUGCACACACAAGUACACUGAGAAUUGACAUCAAUGGUACUCAUUUCCUCCCACAACUUCUUCAUUCUUGUGUAAUAUCCAGUGAUGUCUAAAGUGCCUUGGACCAGAUCAUUAAUUUCCUUCUGCAGUUGAUACAAUUUACACCCAUUGGUUUGAUCGUACCUUUCUUCUAGUUCUCCCCAAAGCUCCUGAGCAUUAUUGACAUACUGCAGACUAUCACGCAAAUCUGGUGACAAGGAAUUCAGGAUCCAAGAUGUGACCAUAUCAUCACACCUUUCCCAUUGCUGAAAGCUAGGAUCAGUAGGAUCAGGUCUCACAACCUUCCCAUUAAUGAAUCCUGUCUUGCUCUUAACAGAUAAAGCCCUGAGAACUGCUCUUCUCCAGGAUCUGUAACCAGUUCCAUCAAAAACUGCAGGUAAUAGGGAUGAACUUGCAUUCUCAGAUGGAUGCAAGUAGAAAGGACUAGGGAUUUCUACCCUAACAGUGGAUGCAGAAGCAUUUGGAAUGGAAUCAUUUGAAGAAUCGACCAUUGUGAAUUGAAAAUUGGGAAGAAGAUCAAGUCGAGAACAACCAGAUCAAACAGCGUUCACAAACAAAAUUGACAGAUCGAAGAUCCAGUCGAGAUCAACCAGAUCAAAGAAAAAAUUCACAUAAGAGAAAACGAAGCUCACAGAUUGAAUUGGAAACAAAAAAAAACAGGAGCAAUUCCCUGUGCUUUGAUACCAUGAUGAAAUCAGCUACUGAUCAGUCAAGCUCCUCCAUUGAUGUAGCUUCAACUCACAUGAGAAAAGAUGAGAGAAGAAGAGAGAAGAGAAGAGAAGAAGAAUCUAGAAGAGCAACAUGAAAAUUAUCUCUCAUUGAAUGUGAAUUAAAGAAGUGAGUAUUACAAUGUAUCUGUAUAUAUACACAAUCACUAAGCAACUAAUAAUCAUUGGCAGAAAUUAACUAACUAACAAACUUGAUUCUAACUAACUCUACUGUACAUAACCGACUCUACUGUACAUAACUAACUAAUUAUACUUUAUAUUCUCAUCAAUAUCCCUUUUUUCAAAUUUCAUAGCUGAACUACUAGGUGUGCGAGUUCCUACCAGAACUAUUACCAACUAUUUAUCAAAACACACAUCAACUAUAUAUGAGUUGUUCCCUUUUACUAGUGGUGAAAAAUAGGUGGAUUUGGACGGGACUGAAAAUGGAUUGAGCAACAUGGUCGUAACUCACUUUAAUCUCUUAAAGCCAGAAAACUUUAAAGAGUUAAUUGAAAUAAACUUAAUGACUAUCCUACUUGAAGUAUCACCAUCGUUCAGGUAAGAAAAAGGAAGUAAAUCAAGGAAGACGAUGUCUUACAAAGCCUGAUGGAUAUGGACCUCGAUAGAACCUCCAUAGUUGUCUUGAAUGUCCUGUUGAAUCUGCUUUGCGGAAUUCCCAACAGAUUCUGGGCAGUUUCUUAUAUCAAUUAGAGCAAGUGUGGUUAUAUCUGCAAAAUCUUGAGGGAUUGAGUCCAAAAACCUGCAACUAUCAAGAAAUAGUCGUUCAAGGCACGGAAAGUGAUCACAACUAGCUCUCCAGUACUGAAUAUGUGAUCUUUUAAGUAACAAGAACUUCAAAAAAGGAAACCCUUCCUCAGCUACUUCCCACUCCCUGCCUCUGCAUACACCCUGUGUUAGUUCAAGAAGUUCAAGUUUGGGCAAUUUUCCGACAACAAUGCUUAAAUCCUUCCAUGACAAGAAGAAAUUUCCUGUAAAAGUUAAAUUCUUAAGGUUUCGUGGAAAAGCAUCUGGAGGAGGUAAGAUCAAAGAUGGAACAACUUCUACAACAAGUGGAUUCCUUGUCUGAAAACACAUUCUCCUCUCCAAAAAGUAAGCAUUAUUUUGAGGAGGAAGACAAAAUGCUAGUUCCUCGAGAUGAUCUAAGUAGCGAAAAUCAUAGAGGUCUUUGUGACUAUGGAAGUCUUGUGGGAUGCCACGUACUUGCAACUCCUUUAAAUUGGGAAAUAGUCUAAAGAAAGAUGCAGUACAAUAGCUAGGAUUCCAUCCAAACAGAGAAUGUAAAUUUUUCAUAACCAAACUUUUCUCUGUAAGCUCAUGAUAUCGCAAGUAAUUCCGAUCCAAAUGAAGGUGCCUCAACUGUGGCAUAGUCAAAAUUUCUGAUGGUAAUAUCAAAGCAUGUUUACGAAGAUUAAUAACGAGUGGAAGGUAAAGUACCAAACUUUGCAGAUAGCAUAGGUUUGAUAUGGAUGUAGGAAUGUCUACUCUUGAUGAGAGAACAUCUUCUUCGGAUCCUAGAUAUUGCUCAACGUUAGGAUAAAUACGCAAAGCUAGGUGUCUUAAGUGAAUCAAAUAAAGUAUUUCACGGGGAAAAGUUAGACAGAUAUUAUCAGCAAGAUCUAGAACUCUUACUAGCUUGAACGGCAAGUACUCCCUCAUGCAACAUCGGAAUCUACCAAAUAAGAUAACAGAAUGAGCUUCACUGUUAAGGCACCUAACAUACUCUUUCUUAUUAUGGAUGCUGAUUCGACCUCGACUCUUAGACAAACACUGCAUAGAUUUCACACAUGGAUUUUGAUCAUUCUUACUUCCGAGAACAUUCACAAAAUUCAUGUUACGAGCUUCCAUCAUACAGAGUUCACGAGUCGUAUCAUGAAUUCCACAACACUUAAUUUUUCCAUCAAAAGUAGUACUUUCUAUGGAAAUUAAACUUCUAUCAAUAAGAUCUUGUAGGUACUUUUCUGCCACUUCUUCUAUGCUUUUCAUCUCUUCUACCUUCAAAAAUCCCUCUGUUUCCCACAAUAUCAUAAGUUUAUUGACAAAAAUCAGUUUAUCCUCUGGGAAGAUUGCGAAAUAUAAAAAGCAUGGUUUUAGGUGGUGAGGCAAGUAAUGGUAACUCAUUGCCAACACCCUCAUGCAUUGGACACCAACAUCUGUGCUUACUGCUGAACUUACAUUUUCAGCAACACUUUGCCACUCACUCAAUGCUUUGUCAAUUUUAGUGAGAAGUCCCGCGAUCACAACAAUUGCUAGAGGCAAUCCUCCGCAUUUCAAUGCAAUUUGCUUUCCAAGUUGUUCAUAUUCAGGGGAGAAAGAGUCUUUCGUAAAGACUUUUUCAUACAAUAAACUCCAACUUUCGUCAAAAUUCAUGAGGCGCAUGUGAUAAGGAGGCUUACCUGAGCUAGCAUAUUCAGCCACUUCCACAUUCCGAGUAGUCAAGAGUAUUCGGCUUCCAUUAUGAAAGUCUGGGAAACAUAUUUGUAUAUCAUCCCAAGCUUUUGUAGUCCAUAUGUCAUCAAUGACUACCAAAUAUCUCUCACCUUUUAGAAGCUUUUGUAGUCGAUCUGCUAGUUGCCCGUCAUGUAGCUGAUCAUAAGGUUUAUCACUUAUACAAGAAAGAAGGUCUAGGAAAACAUUUCUCACACAAUACUCUUGUGAAACAGUAGCUUUAGCACGAAUGUCAAAACGAUACAUCAUGCAUGGAUCGUUGUAGAGUUUCGUAGCCAAAGUUGUCUUGCCAAUGCCUCCCAUACCUACAAUUGAUACAACUGCUAGUUCUCUUUCUCCUCUAGCAAGUUGAUCCAGCAUCAUCUUGAAUUCAUUUUCAUAGCCAACCAUUAUAUCCUCGGACCGCUCAACAGCACGUUCAGGUAUCUUGGAUAGACAAAAAUUUUGUGCUUUGAAAUCUUUAAAGUUGUUGUACCAGUCCCAUAUUGCCAACCACUGCAUCAUGAAGGAAUCAAUGCAUUCUACCUCUUGUUCCAAGGAACAACAGAGUUCCCAGAAAGCUUUGCUUCGUGUAAUUACAGUUUCUGCGGAAGAAACUUUUCUUGAUUUCGAAUCAACCAUGUCUUCUGCUUUGUAUGCUACCUCCGCGAUUUCAACUUCCAAGGUUGUUAACCCCUCAUGAUCUCCCGUUAUAUUGCAGGAUUUCUCCAUAAUAGCUCUCAAAGAUUCAAGCUUUUCAUAGAAUGGUUGCAAAUCACAUCCAGUAAGUUCCAUUGACUGGUGUAUGGUUCUCAUAAGGGAAGUAACAGCAGCAUAAGCCAUAUAUCCAAAAAAUAGGAAUCUCUCACACUCAGUAUGAAAAUGGACAAAUUAAUUGCCACAAGUUAUGUAAUCUUUCUUUUACUAACUAUUUCCAUCACAUUUCUAGCUAGGUCCACUAACAGGUAAAGUAGAAAGAUGUGAGGUCCCUAACCUUAUCAUCAUGUAGACAAAAGAAGAGACCAAAGUUUUUAAAAAAAAGACAGGAAAAAGUAGAAAAAUUUGUGAUCAUUCAUUAUUAGACCCUACACUAAUCUCUUUAGAAAAAUAAACUAAAAUUUUAGUUUAAAUAAAGGAGUUCAAGCUGUAUAUUGAUAACGCCCAAUUCAAAUUCAAGUGUAGUACGGUCUAGCAAUAAUAAACUCAACAAAUGUUGGGGUCGAGGAGUAUGCUUGUGUCAAGGUGACAGAGAAUGCGAAUUUGCGAAUUUCCUAAGCUUAUCUACAAAUAAAAGGUCUUUCUUUUAGCUAGGUCCAUAAUCCAUGUAGUGCUCUCUACUCUCUAGUCUCUAUCAACCAACUCAAGUUUAAGGGUGUGUUUGGUAUGGAGGAAACAUUUUCUCUAGAAUAGGGAGAGUUUUGUGCAUAAACAAAGAAGAAUAUCUCAGUAUAACAGUGAAUGUGUAUUUUUUUUAUGAUUUGCUUCAUUUGAGUAUGACUUUUGUAAGAAAAUUCUGGUAAAAGUUUAAAAAAUGAUCUUGUGGAAUAAGCACAGUGAAUUCCUUAAUAUUCGAGUAGAAAAAGCCAGGGAGGAUAACAUUGCUAUUUGUACACUUAUCGUGACACGAGUAGUCUCUUAAAUAUUACACCUUUCUACUGGUGUUGCUGGUGCCACUGAAUUUAGCCUUCCGUCUUCCUUUGCGAGGUAGAUUGAGGACUCCCAAGAAAGGAAACACAAGGUACUGGAGUCUGUUCCGGCCUCUACAGUAUGUAUGUACAUAAAAUUUGGAGUAACUAAAAAACCACUGACAAAUGGCUAUACGAAAGAUCAUAUACAAUUUAAUUACAAGCCAUUUGCAAUCAUCCUGCCCCUUUAUGCAGAAUCUUUUCAAAGAAAAUGAAAACAAACACUCACACAUUUGGCUUCUGAUUGACAUUUAUUUCAGAGAACUGGCUAGUCCUCAGAACACCUUAACUACUCGCUGCAGAAAAAAAAAGACGCAAAAAAUGGAAAAUAAUAUGUUAGAUGUCCCAUAAUUAAGGAACAGGAGAACAUUAUAGCAAGAAUGAGCAUGCAGGUAUAAGAACUUACACAUUAUUGCGGCAAGAAGCAACUUCUUUCUCAAAGUCAAUAUCAUCAUCUUCAUCUAUUGUUACACUACAUCGAAAAUGCUUGCUACAAAAGAUGAAAAAUGAAAUGUUACACUUCCCAAAAUCAAGAAUGAGCAUGCAAGUAUAACAACUUACACAAUAUUGGAAGGAUUCGAAUCAAUCACAAUGACAGCAUCAAGAACUUUUGUUGAAUUGGUGUAAUUUGACUUACUAAAGCUAUUAUCCAGAUUAUUAUCGAGUUUACUAUAAUGAUGAGUUAAAUAUUGUUGUAAAUCAAGGAAGAAGAUGUACUUACUAAAGAUUACGAGUAUGGACCUCGAUAGAGCUUCCAUAGUUGUCUUGAAUGUCCUGUUGAAUUUGCUUGGCGGAAUUCCCAACAGAUUGUUGACAGUAACUUAUAUCAAUAAGAGCUAGUGUGGUUAUAUCUGCAAAAUCUCGAGGGAUUGAAUCCAAAUAAUAGCAACUUCUAAGAAAAAGUCGUUCAAGGUACGGAAAGUGAUCACUACUAGCUCUCCAGUACCGAAUGCAUACUUCAUGCAGAAACAAGAACUUCAAGUGAGGAAACCCUUCCUCAACUACUUCCCACUCCUCGCCUAUGAAGGAUUUCCAUGAUAGUUUAAGGACCUCGAGUUUGGGUAAUUUACCAACAAUGCUCAAAUCCUUCCAUGCCAAAAAGAAUUCUCCGCUAAAAGUUAAACUCUUAAGGUUUUGUGGAAAAGCAUCCGGAGGAGGUAAGCGUAAAGUUGAAACAUCAGUUGGAGGUGCAGUUGCCCUGAAAGGUAAGAGUAAACUUGUAUAAAGUUGAACAACUAGCCACAUGAGUCCUACAUGACACAAUACACAUAAGACACCAACUAUUUCCAUCACAUUUCCAGCUAGGUCCACUAACAGGAUAAAGUAGAAAGAUGUGAGGUCACUAACCUUAUCAUCAUGUAGACAAAAGAAGAGACCAAAGUUAAAAAAAAAAAAGACAGGAAAAAGUAGAAAAAUUUGUGAUCAUACAUUAUUAGACCCUACACUAAUCUCUUUAGAAAAAUAAGUUUCAAUAAAGGAGUUCAAGCUGUAUAUUGAUAACGUCCAAUUCAAAUUCAAGUGUAGUACGGUCUAGCAAUAAUAAACUCAACAAAAGUUGGGGUCGAGGAGUACACUUGUGUCAAGGUGACAGAGAGUGUUCUGGCCUAUACAGUAUGUAUGUAUGUACAUAAAAUUUGGAGUAUCUAAAGAACCACUGACAAAUGGCUAUACGAAAGAUCAUAUACAAUUAAAUUACAAGCCAUUUGCAAUCAUCCUGCCACCUUAUGCAGAAAAAAUGAAAAUUCUGAUUUGACAUUUAUUUCAGAGAACUGGCUAGUCCUCAGAACACCUUAACUACUCGCUGCAGAGAAAAAAAAAAGACACAAAAAAUGGAAAAUAAUAUGUUAGAUGUCCCAUAAUUAAGGAACAAGAGAACAUUAUAGCAAGAAUGAGCAUGCAGGUAUAAGAACUUACACAUUAUUGCGGCAAGAAGCAACUUCUUUCUCAAAGUCAUCUUCAUCUGUUGUUAUAUCGAAAAUGCUUUCUACAAAAGAUGAAAAAUGAAAUGUUACACUUCCCAAAAUCAAGAAUGAACAUGCAAGUAUAACAAGUUACACAAUAUUGGAAGGAUUCAAAUCAAACACAAUGACAGCAUCAAGAACUUUUGUUGAAUUGGUGCAAUUGGACUUACUAAAGCUAUUAUCCAGAUUAUUAUCGAGUUUACUAUGAUGAUGAGUUAAAUAUUGUUGUAAAUCAAGGAAGAAGAUGUCUUACAAAAGAUGACGAGUAUGGACCUCGAUAGAGCUUCCAUAGUUGUCUUGAAUGUCCUGUUGAAUUUGCUUGGCGGAUUUCCCAACAGAUUGUCGACAGCUACUUAUAUCAAUAAGAGCUAGUGUGGUUAUAUCUGCAAAAUCUGGAGGGAUUGAAUCCAAAUCAUAGCAAUUUCUAAGAAAAAGUCGUUCAAGGUACGGAAAGUGAUCACUACUAGCUCUCCAGUACCGAAUGUAUAUGUUAUCCAGAAACAAGAACUUCAAGUGAGGAAACCCUUCCUCAACUACUUCCCACUCCUCGCCUAUGACGGCAUUGUCUGAUAGUUUAAGGACCUCGAGUUCGGGUAAUUUACCAACAAUGCUCAAAUCCUUCGAUGCCAAAAAGAAUUCUCCGCUAAAAGUUAAACUCUUAAGGUUUUGUGGAAAAGCAUCCGGAGGAGGUAAGAGUAAAGUUGGAACAUCAGCUGGAGGUGCAGCUUUCCCGAAUUGUGUCUUUUUGUACAAUAAUUUCGUCUGAAACCUCAGAGGAUCUUGCGGAGUAGAACCUGAAGGUGCAGUGCUUUCUAGAACGCAAGCAGCACCUGGAUAAUAAACACGAAAUGCCAAUUUCUCGAGCUGAUAUAAGUAGCGAAAAUCAUACAGGUCCUUGUGAUUGCGAAAGUCCUCUUGGACGCCAAAUACUUUCAACUUCUUUAAAUUGGGAAAUAGUCUAAAAAAAGACCCUGUACAAUUCCGAGGAUUCAAUUGAUUGAGACAUUGCAAACUUUUCAAAACCAAUCUGUUCUCUGUAGGCUCAUGACUCCGCAAGUAAUUCCAGCCCAUACGCAGCUUCCUCAAUUGUGGCAUCGUCAAAAUUUCCGAUGGUAAUAUGAAAGGAUAACUAUCGGUAAAUGGAAGGUAAAGUUUAAAAGUUUGCAGAUAGCAUAGGCAUGAUAUCGAUAGAGGAAUGUCUAUUAUUGAUGAGGGAACAGCUUCUAUCGAUCCUCGAUACUGCAGUAAGCAAGGAUUAAAACACAAAGAUAGGUAUCUCAAAUGAAUUAGAGAAAGUACUCCACUGGGAAAAAUUGGGCAUGGAGUCCAACCAAGAUCUAGUACUCUUACUAGCUUGAAAGACAAUUCCAGUGUGAUGCAAUUGAAUCCACGCAACAUGAUAAUAGAAUGAGCCUCACUGUUACGACACCAAGCCAAUUCUUCCUCCUUAUAGAUACUGAUCCGACUUCGCUUCUUAAAGGAACACUGCAUGGAUUGUGCACAUGAAUUUUGAUCACUCUUUCCUCUGAUAACAUUCACAAAAUUCAUGUUUCGAGCUUCCCUCAAACAGAGUUCACGGGUCACAUCAUGCAUUCCACAGCUCUGUAUUUCCCCAUCAAAACUCAAUUUGUGGAUAGAAAUUAGACUUCUAUCUACAAGUUCGUUUAUACAUGUUUCUGCCACCUCUUCUAUGCUUUUUCCCUCUUCUUCAUUCAAAAACCCCUCUACGGCCAAUAACUCAACAAGUUUAUUUACAAAAAUCCGUUCAUCCUCUGCGAAAAUUGCAAAAUACAGAAAACACGGUUUUAGGUGAGAAGGCAAGUGAUGGUAACUCAAAGCCAACACUCUCAUGCAUUGUGCUUCAGGAUCUGUGCUUACCACCGAACUUACAUUCUCCGCAAUUCUUUGCCACUCAUCUAAUCUUUGACCGAUUUUGGAGAGAAGUCCAGCAGUCACAGUAAUUGCUAGAGGUAAUCCUCCACAUUUUAAUGCAAUUUGUUUCCCAAUAUUUUCAAAUUCAGGAGAAUAAGAACCUUCUUUUUCAAAGAUCUUUUUGUGUAGUAAAUUCCAACUUUCGUCAAAAUUCAUGAGGCGCAUGUGAUGAGGAGGCUUACCUGAACUAGCAUAUUCAGCCACUUCCACAUUCCGAGUAGUCAGGAGUAUUUUGCUUCCAUUAAUACAGUCCAUAUGUCAUCAAUGACUACCAAGUAUCUCCUGCCUUUCAGAUGCUUUUGCAGUCGGUCCGCUAGUUGAUUCUCAGGUUCAUCACUUAUCGAAGAAAGAAGGCCUAGGAUUACAUUUCUCACACAAUACUCCUGCGAAACAGUUACUUUUGCACGAAUAUCAAAUCGAGACAUAAUGUAAGGAUCACUAUAGAGUUUUGCAGCCAAAGUUGUUUUCCCGAUGCCUCCCAUCCCUACGAUUGAGACAACUUCUAGUUCCCUUCCUCCUCUAGCAAGUUGAUCCAGCAUCAUCUCAAAUUCAUUUUCACGGCCAACCAUUAUAUUCUCGGGCUGCUCAACAUCAUGUUCAGGUAAACUGACAAGUGAGCUAGUUUGUGGUUUUAGAUCUUUCAUGCUGUCCGAUGCUGCCAUCCACUGUUUCACGGUGGAAGCAAUGCAUUCUAGUGCUUGUUCCAAGACGAAAAAAAUCUCCCACAUAGCCCUGCUUCUUUCCUCCAAAU